GCUGCCAAAGAGGCUUGGGAUAGAAGCUCUGGGGAGCCAGGAUGAUUCUUCUCUGAGAAAAAUGGGCAAUACUGGCGCAGGGCUUUGGGCUUCUAGGGGGGAAAUCGGUAAUGUGUUUGUGAUGGCUGUAAAACUAUGGAACCUGGGAAGCACUAAAGGGCUCUCAUCAGAGGGCAGCCACAACUCAACUGUUAAGAAAAAUGGGUACCUUUUGAAUCCUGCACUGGCUGCCUGCAUGGGGCAGGGAAAAGGUUGUGAGAAGGUUUACAGGGAUGUAGCCUGGGGACAGGGGGAGUUACUUUUUUUUUAAAUUAAGUUUAUUUAUUUAAUUAAUUGAUUUAGAAUAUUUUUCCAUGGUUACAUGGUUCAUGUUCUUUCCUUCCCCUCCUCCUACCCCGCUCCCAUAGUCGAUGUGCAGUUCCACUGAGUUUUCCAUAUUAUUGAUGUUUGCACUAGGAUGAUCCUUUAGUCUACAUCCCCAAUCUUUUCCCCAUCGACCCAUGUGAUCAAGCAGUUGAUUUUCUUCUGUGUUUCUAAAAGGGGACUACUUCUGGCCAGAAAAUGUCCAGAACAUUUUUCUUGGACACCCUUUGAUGAUCAGCCUCCACCUGAGGCUUUGAUUGAUAAUCAAAAAAUCCCUUAGUGGGUGUCAGUUGAGGAUAGAUAGAGCACUGCGCUUGGAGUCAGAAAAAGCCAGGUUGAACUCCAAGUACCUCUUGCCUUUCAAUUUCAUCACUUUUUUUCUACUCAAGCAUGCUGGUAAUGAUUAAUGACUAAAAGUCAGCCUUCCUGGCAUCUUUUGAAAAUGAUUACUCCUUUGUUAUUGUAUCCCUAGCACAGCACCUUGCACCUAGUAGGUGCUUAAUGGAGGUUUGGUUAUAAAGUCCUUUUUAGCAUUAAAAUUCUUUGAUUGUGGUUAGAAGUCCAGAGACAAUAGACCUGCAUUUCCCCAAGGCUGACUUAAUCCAUUUCCUCACUUUCUUCUCUGACCAUCUCAGAAAUAGGGAAUGAAAAGGGGGUACAAUACCCUCCCCAAAAGUCAGCUCUGAUGAUAAGACAUGAGUUAGGAGGAAAAUAGAAUGGAAGGGCACUGAGAAAUGCUGAGGGGCCACUGUGAAACUGUUUACUUCCUUGUGAGUAUUGAGGAGGUGAUCCAGAGAAAUAGCAAGUGAAUGUUUUUAUUCUUCCAUGUAGUUCUUAUUUCCCUAGUGCUUAUAGACUGUAUUAGCCUUUAUGCUUAAGCAGCCCAUCUUAUAUUGUCCGGGAUUUCAUAACACUGGAUGGCAUUAUGUUAUUAUCAGUUUUAAUGUGGUCACAAUGUUCAUAACCCACAGUACAUAUAUGGCCACUUAUCAUAAAUUGUACUUGGACUGUUUUUUUAUAAGAACUCUCUCUAUCUUUCUCUCUCUCUCCCUCCUCUCUCUCUGUGUGUGUCUCUCUGUCUCUGUCUCUGUCUCUGUCUCUCUGUCUCUGUCUCUGUCUCUCUCCCUCUUCCCCCCCCUCUCUUUCCCUCCUCUCUCUCUCUCUCUCUCUCUCUCUCUCUCUCUCUCUCUCUCUCUCUCUCUCUGUCUCUCUGUCUCUCUGUCUCUGUCUCUGUCUCUCUCCCUCUUCCCCCCUCUCUCUUUCCCACCUCUCUCUCUCUCUCUCUUUCUCUCUUUCUCUCUUUCUCUCUCUCUCUCUCUCUGUCUCUCUAUAUCUCUCUGUCUCUCUGUCUGUCUCUCUCUGUCUCUCUCUCAGCAUCUGCAUUGGUAAGGGCUUUUAGGAUUUCUUUAAUGCCAUCAUGCAAAGGGCACACAUUCUAAAUUGUUGUCAUUUUCUGCCUUUAUGCAAUUUUUCCCAUUCCUAAGAGCUUUGUUACCUAAAUGUGAAGAAUAUAGCUAUUCAGAUAGCCAAGUCACAGGGAAUCUCAGUGAUACCCAGAGUCUUGUUAGGAGGGCAUUACUUCUUGCCCUUGGUAGGUAACAGAUUGCGAUUGUGGCUCGUACUGAUGCUGAAACACAUUGCUGAGAUGAGGCCCCAAAGACAAAGUGAGAGAAGUGGAAGUAUCUCAGGGCUUCAGGUGGUAAUUUAAUCACUGCUGACUGAGGCCUUGCUGGCUUGCAGAAAUAGUUCUAUCUACCAGUGGGUCCCUCUAGGAAGGGAAGUUUCUAUCACCUCAGUAAAAGGUAGUGAAUGCUACUGAAGUCAUUUAGACUCCUAAACUUUUGCCAGGCUAAUGCAAUUCCCUUUGGAAAGAAGAAAUACUAUACAUACUUCAAUAGAAAUUCAGCCCUCAGUUUUGUCAUUCUCUGCAAUUUCAUGAACUUUCUCGAAUACUCCUUUGUCUUCUUUUACUCUUCUGUUGUGAAUUCAUUUUGCUAGAGAGCAAGAGAGAAAUAGAUCAAAGAUGGAAUUGAACCUUGUCUCAAGAAGAAACCUUAAAAUGAUCAUCUAGGAUGGGGGCAAAGCGGGAAGGAGGUAAAGAAUUUGGAACUCAAAAUUUUGGGAAACAAGUGUUAAAAAUGAUUAAAUAUAAAUUGGAAAAAAAUAAAAUAUUAUAUAUUUAUACAAAGAUCAUCUUGUAUCUGGUCUGGCCCCCCAUCUGCCUAGUUAUAUCUUAAACUUAACUUGUGAUUUUAUUAGUAUAUAUUAUAUUUAUGUGUAUAUGAACAUAGUAUAUAGUAUAAGGAACUCUCAGUAGAUAAAUUUCCUCAACCAAUGCAGAUUAGCAUUUGCUAUGGGUUUUUUUUUUAAAUUAACCUGUUCAUUUUUCUUAUUGCACAAUAGUACUCCAUCACAAUUAUAUGCCACAAUUUGUUAGUCUUAGAGAGUUGUCUUGGGGAGCUGAGAGGUUAACUUGCCAAAAGUCACCUAAUGAGUUAGAAGAAGGGCUUGGAAAAGAGUUAGUCUUCCUUCCUCCAAUGUUGGAUGACUGCCCAUUAGUCCUUCUAUAACCAUUAGGCUAUGUGUCCCCACCCACCCCUUCCCCUUUUCAAUUCUCUCUUUUUACAAAUGGGAAAACUGAGACACUAAGUGUAUUUGCUAUUGUGAGUAACAAACCUGAACCAAGGUCCCUUGACUACAAAUCUAGGGUUCUUUUCAUCUGCCAUGCUGCUCAUGCUGCUCUUUUCCAUAUGUGAACAAUCCACACAGUUCUCUAUGGAGCUCAGUAGGACUGGUUCCUCGUUACUUAUUUCCUACAGAUCAGUUCCAGGUGACCAUUUUUUAGACAUCUCUUAGGAUAGUUCCUUCCUUCAUGCUCAUGCCCUUCUGUAAUGGGGUCCCUCCUUUCUGCUGCCUGUCCAUCAAAGCCCAGCUUAAGGUGCCUCUCCUCCAUAAAACAUCUUCUGAGAAUUCUAGCCCACAUCCUGUUGUAUUUCUAGAAAGUACCCUUUUUUUUCACCACAUAAUGUGUUCUGUUCAGUUGGAUUAGUCUUUUAUGCUCAGCUAGAUAAUGUCCUGGCUUUGCCACAUAUAUGCAGGUGGCUUUGGACAAAUCACUGAAGAUUGUGGGAUCAGAACUGUAGGACCAGAAGAAAUCUGAGAGACUAUUGAGUUCAGCCUCUUUAUUUUACAGAUAAAGAUACUGAAACCCAGUGAAGGUAAGUGACUUGACUACAGUCAGAUGAGUAGUGUCAGAAUUAGGCGAUGCACUUAGAUAUUCCAAUUCUAAAGUUAUUAUUUUUUCUUUUGUAACAAACCAACUCAACCUAUCUGAGUCUAUCUAAACCUGGAAGGUAAUAGGAUUGGACCAAACCAUUCAAAAAGGCAUUAUUGGCCUGCCUUGUGCCAGACACUGCUAAGUGCUUUCUGUGGGACUGUGUGUCCUUAAAUCUAUGAACCUAAGUCCCUCCAAGGCACAUGCCAUAUGUGAUCAUUCUUCAUCACUCUCCCCACCACUCAUCUUGAAGAAUAGAUUCUUAACCUGGGAUAGACUGCCAGGGUUCAUGAAUUUGGAUAGGGAAAAAAUACAGCUUAAUUUCAAUGUAAUUGGUUCCUUUUUUAAUAAUAUGUAUUUUAUUUUAUAUAUUUAAAAACAUUCUAGGCAGGGUUCAUAGGCUUCACCAGAUAGUAAAAAGGGUCCAUGACACCCAAAGAUUAAAAAUUCUUGGCAUAUAAUAAAUGCUCAAAUAAAUACUUUGGCAAAUUAAAUAUCCAAUAGGGUUGGGUUUUUUUUUUAUUUAAUUGUAUGAUGAAAUGUGUGUUGUGCUAUUGCUGAUCAUUCUGUUUUUGUUUUUUUUAAACCUUACCUUCCUUCUUGGAGUAAAUACUGUGUAUUGGUUCCAAGGCAGAAGAGUGGUAAGGGCUAGGCAAUGGGGGUCAUGUGACUUGCCCAGGGUCACACAGCUGGGCAGUGUCUGAGGCCAGAAUUGAACCCAGGACCUCUCGUCUCUAGGUCAGGCUCCCAAUCCACUGAGCUACACAGCUGCCCUCUAUUGCUGAUCAUUCUGCCUGAUAAAUUGAUUUUUAGGGGAUGCCUCCCAUUAGGUGUGAUGCAUUGAAAACAAAGAAGAAAUAACAAAAACUCUUAUUUUCUGCUCUGUUUUAUUUUAGUUUUCUUGAGCUGUGAAGGGUAAGAUAAGAAUAGUUGAAGGGAAACAGAAUGACUGAAAAACAACUAAAAAACAUUUAGGGGAUUCUCAGAGCCAAUUGUUAAAUUUUCAAUAAGAAUAUUUAUAACUCAAGAAUCAGCAAAUUCUACAAACCAAGGUUUGACUUUUUGUUUUGAUACAUGUCUAGACUUUUAAAAAUGUCAAUACUACAGAAAAAAACUUAAAAGUGUAUUACACGUACUUUUUUUGAGUUAGUUGUUUAACCCUUGGCCCUAUCCCUCUUUAACAUUCUGUCAUUCCCUCCUUUUUCAAUCUAGUAAUAUAUGAUACAAGAAUAACUUGAUUUCCUUUUUUGAUAGUUACUAGACUGAUAGAUGAAGGGAAUGCUGUGGAUAUUAUUACCUUUAUUUAAGCAAGGCAUUUAAAAAUUCAUCUCAAAAUCCAUAUAGCCAAAGGAUAUAGUUUGGAUGAUAGUACAAGUAAUUGGAUUCAGAACUAACUAAUUGAAUAACCAGACCUCCCCACCCCCAACAAAAUCUAUGCAUCCAUGUCAAGCUGGAGAGAAGUUUUUGGUGGAGGGUCACCAAGCUCUAUCCUCAAUCCUGUUCUGACCAGCUUUUUUUUUUUUUAAUUCAUGACUUGGAUGAAGACAGAAAUGCCAUGCAUAUCAAAAUUAUGAAGAGUAUGAACUAGUAAAGGUAGUUUAUGAACCAGAUGAUAGAAUCAAGAUCCCAGAGGAUCAAAAUAGGGUAGAACAAUGUGCUGUAUGUAAUGAUAUGAAAUUAAUCUAUAUAAAUGGAAAAUUCUAUACUUGGAUAUUUUAAAAUAUGCCCCCCCUUUAAAAAUUACAAUAGCAUCUAUCUGUCUCUGUUAUUAUGUCACCUUUACCAUUCCCCACAAUAUUUCAGGAAUCAUUGAUAAUGACUUAGGAGUCAUAUUUGAAAGUUAUUUAAAAACUAUGGGAUAUAGUUUUUGUGGUUCUGAUGGUUUGAUUUCAAUAAAGUCAAUGAGAUUCUCUCUUAUAAUCUUUUGUUAUUUGGGUUUCACUUUCUUUUUAGCCAUAUUUGUCUUAUCUUUCUCACACUGAAUACUUUUUUUUUCUUGGUAGAGAAAACAGAGCAGACAGGAAUUGAGUAGUUCAGCCUUCUUUCCUUGAUCCAUUUUUAUUGUCUUAUUACUCUCUUGUGGAACAGAUUUGUCUUUCAUUGUUCUUCCUUCUGCCUCCAACAUAACUUCAGAAAAUUUUUUUUUGUAUUGUCCUUAACAUUUACCACAUGCCUGGACUCAUUCUGGGCUUGUACAUUCAUGGCAUUAUUUUUUAAGCCUAUACAAUUUAUUUGUAUUUACUUUCAGCUAUUUAUCCUUACUUCUGUCUUCUGUUUCUUUUCUUAAGGUUUCUGAAAUAUAUGACAGCUUAACUGAUAUAUUUUCUUUAUACCUGCUCUGUUUCUCUUGAGCAAACUCUUUGAACUUGGCACUACUCAAGAAACGGUGAAUUAUAAUUUUCAAUUCAACUGUUCAAGACAUCUCCAAAAAUUUGUUUUCUCCUGCAAAACUAAGAUACUGUUUGGACAACUCCGCUGUUACAGUUAGAGGAGAACUGUAGCGAUCUGAGUGACAAAGAGUCUGCCUUUAAAAUUAGCUCAUCUCUCUGGAAAGGAUCUGGCUUUUAUGAGAUUUUCUAUGGGGUCACAUUUAAGUGGUGUCCUUGAUACUGUGCAUUUGCAUUCCAUAGCAAUAUUUAUGACAAUAUGGCUUCUGCAUUGUUACUUUUCAUAGUGGAGUAAUAACCAGGGGUGAGAAUGGAGGUUGGGGGAAGGCGAUAAUGAGAGUUAAGAAGUGAAAACCCACAUAUUCUUUUUCAUUCAGGUAUGAAUGGUAGGACAGCCAAGGUGAGCUCAAGGAGUAAAGUUCGGCAGCAGCAGGGGUACUAUGUAUGAGUAUGUCUGUUCAUAAAUAUAGGAGACCUUUAAAAAUGACAGGAUGGUCAUGUGAAUUGUUUAAUGAGAUAGAAGAUUCAAUGUGCCUUUGUUCAGAGAGAUUUACCCAAGUUGAUUUUUUUUCCCCAUAAGCCAAUCAGAUCACAGACUUCAUCUGAGGCAGUUUGGAAAUUCAGCAUCUCUCAAAUUCAUUUUUAUACGGAUAGCAUAUGUCUGCAAAAUGGCUAUUUUACAAGAAGAACUGCUCCCUCCAAGCCAUUUGUGCUUUGGUAAUGAGUUCCCUUAUACAACUGAGGUAAAUGUUAAUGCUGAAUUCCUUUUAGCCAAAGCAACAAACACUUCACUAAUUGUAAAUAAAGCACACAAAUUUGCAUCCUAUUCAGUGCGAUCCUCAGUGCACUUUGAUGCUAAAUGCCAUAUUAAUUUAAUAUUUUCCCUGUAAGGAACAGAUGCUAAUGUGAUAAUAACUCAGUCUUUUUCCCACUAUGGUGUCACAUUAACUGUUAACAUCUCUUACCCUUGUUUCUUAGUACCCCCUAAAGUUUUAAAGCUGAAACUUACUUGAGAAAUUAGCUCACGAAUGGGUUCCAAUUGGGAUAAGGCUGAAAUUUCAGCUCUUUGCCUCCUUCUCCUUUGUUCCCAAUGGUUUUGUGGAGAAGGAAGAGGUGACAUUGGAUAGGCAAAGCAAUGACAUCAGUCUUUAGGCCUUUAAAAAAAACGACUGGAGUUUCUUUUGCGGUGAACCAAGUUAAUGGUGGAACUGUAGCCUCUAACUUCUAGCUUUUGUGGCUGAAACAAAAACUUUGCGGAGUGACAUUUCUGGAUUAAGGGAUUAAGUUAUGACUGUAAUGUGGACAUAGGAAUUUAGCUACACCAAGCAGGCAAACUGUUCCAUCUUAUAGUGAGCUGUGUUCCUCCACUACACGUGGGAAAAUGGAAAAUCAUGUUUCUAGACAUUGAGGAGCAAUUCUUCUUGACUUCCAUGUUUAGUCAUAUGUCUAGGUUUUAAUGUGUUAUCUGCUUUGCCUGGGGAAAUCAAGUUAAAAUUAUAAUAAUGGCUUUAAUUUCAUAAACUUAUAAUAUUUGGCACCCUAAAAAAGUAUUCUGAUACAUUUUUUUAAAUUAAUAAACCGACCAGAUCCAAUAUUCUUAUUCUUUAUAUAAAUAGCCCCAAAAAAUAUUAGUGGCCUCGCUUUGCAAACUUCCACUGAUUCCAUAACUAAACAUAUUAAAUGUCCUAUGGCAAAAGGGGGACUCAGAAAUGGUUAUAGACAUCUUAAUAAUCUGGUUUCAAAUGAAACAAUUCUGUAUUUAAGCUGAUCACUUCCCACAAGACCAGUGAUGGUGAACCAUGUCAGUAGCAUUGGUCCAGGUUUUCCUAUAUUGUCCUGUUUGAUUCCCCAGAUUUUAUUAAUUUGUAGUUUUUCUCUCCUUUUCCCACCCUUCCCUAUGCAAUGUAUAGGCUAGUUAUGCCUAGGAAAUUUGUACUUAAAAUUCAUAGAAAGUAUUCUAUACACAAAUAGCAUGCCAUUUGAGAUAACAAUCCUUCAUUUUCACUUGAUUUUCAUCAAAUUUUCUAAAACCAGACAUGUGACAUUCAGUAUUUAGAACUUCACUUUGAUCCCUAGUUCCAAAUUGAGGGCCUUUUAUUUGCUAACUAUAUCAUCAUGUCAAGCUAUUUCACUUCUAUGUACCUCAGUUUCCUCAUCUAUAAAAUGGGAGAAUUGUAUUAGCUAACCUCCUGAGUCCAAUUCAGUUUAAAAUUGUGUUUAAUGAGCUUUGAGACUCAGGCAUAUGAUAACUGAAUGGAGUGAUUGUCUUCUAAGUCCAAAGAGAUAUGGAAUAAUUGGUAGGAAAUCAGAUGAAAACAAGAAUCUUUGAAAACUAAGCAUCGUCAUUCGGUGAUCUGGGCUAGGCAGAAUAUAGCAUGAUGAUCAUAUUCCUACGUCUAGACAAGAGAUCUCUUUUAAUGCAGCCUAAGAUCACAUUAGCUCUGUUGUCCACUGGAUUAGACUUCUAAAAUAUAUUGGAUUUGAAACCCACUAAAACCCUUUUAUCUUUUUCAAUUAAGCUGCUUUGGCCACAUGUCCCUCAUUUUAUAUGUGUAAAGUUGAUUUUUUUAACCUGAGUAUAAAAUUUUUACGUUUAUCCCCAUUAAAUUUCAUCUUAUUAGAUUGAGCCCAACCUUCUAGUCUAUCGAACUCUUUGGGGGAUUCCGACUCAUCCUACAAGUUAGUUAUCCCUUCCAGAUUUCUGUCAUAUGAGAAUUUGGUAAGUAUACCAUCUAUGCAUUUAUCCAAGUCAUCAGUAGAAAUGAUAAAGAACCAGAGACAGUCUUAGUACUCUAGACUUCUAUAAUAGAGUCCUCCUUGAAACCUUAAUACAGAUAUCCCUUCCGCAUCAUAGCUUUGCUGAUCACAGUUUCAAUAUUUCAUGCAUGGGUCAGCAUAAGAAAUUAAAUGGAAGUAAUUUUUUUUAGAGUUUUGCAGAAGCUAUAGAUGACACACAAAGGCCAGCAUGUGACACAGAAAAUGUUUAGAAACUCAGAAAUACAUAGAAUAUGUGUAUGGUAUUGUAUAAUAUCAGCAUAUUUUGUUUCAUUUUGAAAGCUUUUUCAUAUUUAAUUUUUUAAUUUAUUUUUUCAGGUAGUAUUUUUACUUAAUAUUUAUCUACAUAUAGCUGAUGACCAACUAUUUAAUCCAAAUUUUACCACAAAAUACUGUAAAUAGCCCAUAAAUGAAAAAAAUAAAAAAUUCAGACUUCUUCUCUACUAUGAAGAGUGUCAAAAAAGUUUACCUGGCUUUUCCACAUCCUAUGGAUGGCAAGUUCCUGACCCCUGAGAUGUGGAAGAGAUACCUCUAAUUACUUUCUGAGAUCCAAAUAUUUAACCAAUUUCAAAUCCACCUAACUCUAGUCCAUGUGUUUUCAUUCUGUCUGUAAGAAGAGCAUGAGAGAAUUCAUUAAAUUCUCAGGUAAAAGUUUAGUAGCCUCCAUCUUUAGCAUUUCCCUGAUCUUCCAAUCUGGGAAACCUAUAAAGAAAGGAAAUGAGGUCUUUCUGGCAUGACCUAUUCUUAAUGACACCAUGAGGGUUCUUUAUGGUACACCCCGCCUUUUUCUUAGAUAUUUACUAACUCUGCCUUCAAUGGUAUUUUUAGAAUAUUGAUGAGAAUUAAAUUCAAACUCAGUAACCUCUAAGUGCAGUGGAUGGAAGUGUUCCAGUCUCAGACACUUCUUAGCUGUGUGACCCUGGGCAAGUAGCUUAAUAUGAACUUCCUAGCCCUUACCAUUCUUCAUCUUGGAACUGAUACUUAGUAUUGAUUCUAAGACAGAAGGUAAGGGUUAAAAAAAAGUUAAGUAAAUUCCCAGGCAUACAUAGGUAGUGUUUCAGGCUGGAUUUGAUCUGACUCCAGACCCAGUGCUCUCUCCACAGUACCACCUAACUGCCUCCAUUUGGAAUCAGGAGCCUGACUCAAUUUUUUUUUUUUUAGUUUCCAAAUUCUGGAAAACCCUUCCUUUAAAGUUUUUGGCCAUCUGCCUAAUUUGUUCAAAUAUUCAGAACUAUAAAGAAUCUCAUAUUCCUAUUAGGAGCUAGGCAUUUACGAAAGGUGGAACUGUUGAUCUUUUCCCAAUAUAUCCAAUAUAAGCAGUGUAUUUAUGAUUAUGACUCAGUGGUCACAGGAUUUAUAAUCUCAGCAAAGAAGCACCCAUGUCAGUAGUUUAGGGUUAGUAGCAGUUCUUAACAUUUCUGUCCAGGAAAUAUAGGUGAUUUUGACAUGAAGCACGUCAUUUUUCAAUGAGAAGACUUCCCAAGUCAGAAAGAAAGUGUGGAUGUGCAAAGAAAUCACUAGACUUGGACCUAGGAAUGAAAUUUAUGAGGGAAUAAACCAAGGCAAGUCACUUCAAACAAGUAUGGAGCUGAUUUUCCUGUGAACUGGGAAUAAUGAUGCUUUUAUUGCCUAUCCCACAGACAAAUGGUAAGGAAAGUACUUUGUAAACCUGACAACUAGAGAUACAUAGAUAGACACAGAUAUAUAUGUCUGUGUAUAUACAUAUAGAUAAAUAGAUAUGAUUAUUAUUUUAGCCCCCAGAUCAUAAGCUAAAGAAUAUAAGCAUCAAACUGAGUUCAAAGGUGAAAAAAAAAUAGUCCAAGCUACAUUCAGACCUCAAAUCUGAUUUUUACUAUCUAAGACCAAUGGGAAUUUCCCUUAAGCUGUGGAUUUCUCCACCAUGAUUUGUGUCUCAAUGAACAUAGCCUCUGGAGCCAAGAGGAUUGAGAUGUGGAGUGAUUUCAGGGCUGCUUUGUUCCAACUGCAUUACCAAAAUCAUCUAGAGUAAUGAGAGGCUUUCCUCUCAUUGACAGCCAACAAAGCUUCAAACUUCUUUUUAUAUUGAUUUUGAUCAGUAGCUAGGAUAGUAUUCCACAUACAAUGGACCAAUGGGAAAUAACUGUCAUCAUUUAAAAAAAUAGCUAUAAAUAUUGAGCACCUACUAUUUACCAGUAUAGUAUUAGUAGGUCUUUUGGUGGAUUCAAAGGAUAGAUAGAAAACAUGCCCUCCAGGAGUUAAUAAUCACUUGGGGGGGAGAGGAUUGGCUAUCUUGAAGCAAUAAUAGAUAAUGAAAGAGAGGCAGGAUGUGAUUAGAUGCCAAAUUGUGUCAUAUAAAUGUUGGAGGAAUUUAAAGAAAGAGAUGAAUGAUAUUAUCCUACCUUAUUUGUCAUUCCUCUCCAUCCACAUAUGAAAAUUUUAUCCAGCAAUCAAGACUCUGCUUAAGACGUAGGUCUCUCAUGAAAUCGGCCUCUUGUCAUUUCUCUUUGAAUUUCGAGAGAACAUAUGAUCUACACCAGCCAUUUAAUACUUCAUUGUUUAAUUACUUUGUGAUAUCUCUUAUAAUGUUAAUAAAAUACCUAAUAUGGGAAUCUAACUCUUGUAUAAUUUUUUUCCACCAAAACUUGGAGUGUUUAAGAUGUUUUAUGCAUUUGUCAUGUGUUAGCAUUUCUAUAGUAUUUUAAGUUUUGCAAUGUGCUUUAAAAAUAUUAUCUCAUUUUAUCUUCACUAUGACUCUGGGAGGUAGGUGCUUUUAUUACCCCCAUUUUAAAAAUGAGGAAACUGAGGUAAACAGAGGUUGAUUAGUCUGGGAUCAUCUAGCUAGUAAGUGUUUGAGGCUAGAUUUUAACUGAGGUUUUCCUGACUCCAGCUCCAGCGCUCUAUCUACUGUGCCACCCAGUUCCAUGUUUUAUGUCUUUUUUGUAUCUCCUGUGGAGCUUAUAACAAACAUUUUUCUACACAGAAUAGUUGCUAAAUGUAUAUAUUGCAAUCCCCCUACCACUUGAAGACUUCAGAAACUAUGAAAAAUAGACUGCAACUAAAGAUAUCCUUGGAAGAAGAUAGUCCAAAUUAGAUAUCUCCCUAUAGCAUGAGGAUCACCUUAAUUUCUCAAAGCUGUACUAGCUCUAGUUCUACCUUGCUGGAAGAGUUUUGACUCUAGUUCCAGCAACGGCCUUCCUCUGUUUUGGGGGGAAACAACCUACCUAAGGAAGGGGAGAGGUUCAUCACUACUUGGCAGCAUCCUCCUUGCCAUCUUCCUCAUAGUGCUAAUAAUAGUAAUUUUAGUAAUAAUAGUAGCAGCUACCAUUUAUAUAGCUCCCACUAUGGCACCUGUCAGCACUGUCCUUAGGAAUAUUAUCUCAUUCGAUCCUGACAGCAACCCUGGAUGCUGUUGGUGAUUAAUUCUUUGGCCAUGACCACCCAGUCUCUUCUGAACAAAAAGGGGAAAUUGGCCAGAGUGGAAUAGAUUAUGUGUUGAGGAAUAAGGGGUUUAUUGGUAUUUUUUGGAAGAACUUGAAAAUGCAGGCAAAGGAGGUUAGAUUUAAUAUGGUGAACACUUCAUAUCUGAUAACAGUUUUUGAACAAUGACAUGAUAAAACAUGCCCUUGGAGCAAGCCACACAAAUUUUUAAAAGAGCUUAUUUUAAUACUUAAUGAGUCUUUGAUGUAACCCAUAUAAUAAUACUAUUAGCUAGUAUUUAUAAAGCAUUUUAAGAUUUGUCAAGCUUAAUUAAUAUUAUCUCAUUUGAUCCUCUCAAUCACCCAAGAAUUUAGGUUUUGUUAUUAUCCCCAUUUUUGCAGUUGAGAAAACUAAGGUAGACAGUAUUUAAAUGACUUGCCCAUGGUCACACAACUAUCUGAGACAGGAUGUAAACUGAGGUUCUCCUGUCUCUCUGAGCCCAACACCCUUUCUACUAUACAACCUAGAUGCCUUUCUUUCUAUGUAAAGUACAACUCUACUGGACUUUGAGAGUUAACUGCAUUUAAGAAAUGAGUAUCUCCAAACUUACCUAGGCUGUUCAUUGGAUGACAAACAACAUAUCCUUGGUCUAUAUUUUUGUUCAGUGGAAAGAAUACUCAAUCUAAAGUGAAGAGACUUGUGUUCAAUUGCUGGUUCUGCAACUGACUGCCUAUUUGACCCAGGGUGAACCAUUUACUGUCUUUCAAUCUUAUUUUCUCAGUAAAAUAAGUAAAAUAAAAUAAAUGUGUUGUAAAUAAAAUAAUAUGUUGGGCUUGUUGGCUACUAACAUUCCUUCCAGCUCCAAAUCUAUGCUCUCAGGAUCCUAUAUAACAUUUAAGGAGGUUAAUUCAACAGUAGAAGUAUGUGAGACAAAUUUUAGUGAAUUGCCUGGAACCCUUUUUAGACCACACCUCUCUCCCUUCUUUACCCCAAUGAAAGGGACAGAACCAGCAGGUCCUGGUCCUCUAAUUUUGUUUCACAAGCUGUUUACACAAACCCAGAGAGGUUAAGAGUCUUCCCUGUGCUUGUCAGGCUUUCUGUUCUAUGAAAAUUGACAGAGCCUGCAGGCUGAAGGGCUAAUUUUAAUAGAAAUAACCUAGGUGGGUUUGUUAAUUUUCUUGGUUCCCUUGAUGAUCUGUCUGCAUAGCAUGAAGGUUCUUUGAUGUGACUGGGAGAACAGAAGGAUAUUUUGUGCAUAGCCAACCAUGAGAGCAGUGCUGGUUCUGCAAUAAAGAGUCAAAAAAAAAAAAGAUGACAGUAGCCUUCUCACCCUGGAAGAUGCCUCCAACCUACCGCCUCUCUCCUUGGAAGAUCCAUCUACCCCUGUGGCCCUCUUAUUGAUGAAUUCCUCCAAGAAGUUCCAUUUUGAUGCAGUGCCCAGGUCCCUGAUGCUCACUCCUUCACUCCUCUCUCAGCUCUACUCCUGAUUUUCUGGAUUACUUCACCAUGCUGUCCCCACCCCUGAUUUUUCAACUCUCUCAUGUGGAUUUUCUUCCCCCAUUAGAAUGUAAGCUCCAUGAGGGCAGGGUCAGCCCCACUGCCUGCAUUUUUGCUUGUAUUUGUAUUCCCAGUGCUAAAUACAGUGCCUGGUGUAUAAUAAGUAAUUAAUAAAUGUUUAUUGGCUUGACUUGUAUUUCUAUUCCUAGUACUAGCAAAGUGUUUGGCACAUAUUAGAGCAGGCAGUUAAUACAUAAUUAUUUAAUUAAAUGAAAUUUAAUACUGAGAGGGGCAGCUAGGUGUUUCAGCAGAUAGAGUUGCAGGCCUAGAGAUGGAAGGUCCUGAGUUCAAAUCUAGCCUCAGAAAUGAGCCUGGGUAAGUCACUUGACUCCAAUUGCCUAGUCUUCACCUCUCUUCUGCCUUGGAAUCUAUACUUAAUAUAGAUACUAAGACAGAAGAUAAGGGUUUUAGAAUGAAAAAAAAAUUAUAUUGAGAACUUUGCUCCUGGGGAAAAUAUUAAGGGAAUAAGACUUCCCAAUGCUGUAUGGAUACUCUACAAGGAAUGCUAAGCACUUCUCAAUAAAUGUUAGUUGAUGGGAAUGACUUUUAAAGAAUACCAAAAGCAUCUAAAUAACAAGAAAAAUUUAUAUUGAAGAUCAUUUUCAGAAUGGACGGCCAAAAGUUCUGCACUGAGGUGGAGAAGGGUGUAUCUAUGCUCACUGCGGAUGUUACCUUUAUUCUCUAAUAUGCCACAUACCCAUGAAGUUGUCACAGAUAAACUUUAUGCAUAUUUUCUUGUCUAAUGGAAGUCACUGAUAAAAAGAACAUAAAGCUACCUCGCCUAGAGUUAUCCAUAUUAAGGCGAAGGUAUGAUUUGGAACAUAUUUUUGGAGUAAGACCUUCAAAUCAGAGUUUCUAAGGAUAUAAUGGCCAAAAUUUUGUUUUCUGCUUUGAUAAGUAUUGGGGGGAGGGGGUCCUGCUCAUUAAAUUCAUUUCUCAAAGGCAAAUUAUUUAAAAGGUGAUUCCUAUAAAAUCACAACUAGGAAUACUCAUCUUGCUGAACUAGAAAUAUAUUUCAUCUUGAUGAAAAGUUUAUUUCUGAUUUUGAAUUUUUUUUUUUUGCGCACUCCUAUAGUUAAAAAACUGAGGUAUGGAGAUUCCCUGAAAUAAUGGACUCCAAAUUCUAGUCUUAGAAUGUUACCUGAGACAGUAAGAGGUUAAAGCUUGUUCUAUCACUAGUGGGACUUGAACCUAGUUUUUCCUGCCACAAAUCAAGCCUUUUGUACAUUAUACCCUACUGCAUCAAGUAUAGCAAAAUGCAUAUUUUUUGUGGCUUUUCCAGCACAAUCCUGAGAGGCUAGUUAAUGUCCCACAUGAAAGAGGAUGCCAAAAAAGGUCUUCUAGAUUUGAACCUACCUUUGCUCUUGUGACUGAACUUUUUUGAUGAUCUAUAAAUUAAAUCCUCAACUCUACGAGUAUUAAAGGUCUACCUUCAAAUGGAAAAAUGAUUGAGGGGUUAAUGGCUAUCAGCUAAUGCUGAAGUAUUACCAUGUUGGCAAAUAGUAAUACAGUAAUGGGAUGCAGAGCCAAAACCCCCAAAUCUAAGGAAGCAGGCAGAUGCCUAAGCCAAUAAAUGAGCCAGAUUGAAUGAAAUAAGAGACAGCUCCAAACAAAUGGAAAAGACUACAGAGGAGCCAGAAUGGAAGUGGAAAACCAGAAACCAACCAGAUAUAUACAAGAUCAUAGUGGAGACAACUUGUCUUUUGACAAGGAGAUUAAUUUGGGAUAGGAACCAAGGGGAGGUUGACCAUUUUUAAUUUUGGCCAGACCUGUGAUUUUCACAUUUAAUGAGUUCCUUGAUGAGAAAAUUCCUUCUACUAAUCAGAUUGUUACUUGUAGUCUUAAAGUGUUUCUUAGUGGUGUAGAAAAGCAAAGUGAUUUGUAUAGAAUCCCAAACUGAGAGUAUGUCAGAGAUGGGACUAGAACCCAGUAUAUCAUGACUCCUAAGCCAACUCCCUAUCCACUCUGUCAGUCUUCCUCUUAGUAUGCUGACUGUACCUAUACUGAAAAGGGAAAUACCCCCUUGAAAUGAGGUUCCUGGAAAUGAAGGAAGACUGUAUAUUUGUUUAUUUUGAGGGCUCUCCAGCCCCUCUGGCUAAUGUUAGAUGUUAACGCAUGGUUUAGCACUGCUCCUGAACAUAAAUAUAAUUAAAGAUACUAAGUACUUCCUAAAAUUAGACCAGAAACAUAAAAAUCUCAUCUCCCAUGAAAAGACAUUUCUCAUGGAUUUCUGCAUCACAGGCUGGGGUUAUUAUUUCCUUAAUUUUAGUUGCCACUUAAAAAAAUUACACAGAUACUGCCAUUGGAGUUAACAAUACUUACUUGACUCCUGAGUACAACACAAUAUAGCUGAAAGUGAAGACUUUAAUUUUUUUUUUUGCAAGUACAGAUGUUAUAGCUAAUUGUGUCUGGUAGGUAAAGAGUGGCCCCAUUUUUUCAGUCUGUCUGGUGAUGACUUCUCAUUUUCUGCUACAAGCAAAUCUAAUUUGCAAAUGAAAAAUUUCUCUGAAACAGACAUUGCCUGCAAGGGAAUUAUAGCCCUACACCUUUGGAAGUGUUCAAGUGAACACACAAUUGCAUUUUAAACAAAAGACUUAUGAUCUUAAUUCGAAAUUAAAAUAACAAUUGUUUCUAAGUGGUACUUAUUAUUUUUUAAAGUUUCAGCAUUCCAAUAACAAUCAUCAAGAGGGGAGUUCAUUUUUAUACAAAGCAGGUAAAGAAUCAUUGUCUCAGCUUGCUUGAUAUUUCUUGUUUGAAGUUUGAAGUUUUGUUUUGCUUUUGUUUUGUUUUUUCCUGGUACCAUAGAAUUACCUUGUUGAUAAUGUAUAUUUCACCAUUCAGUUUUCUGACUAUGGUAUGUGACUGGUACCAAUAUUAUAUUAUUGGUGUUUUUUUAAUAGGUGAGAGAAAGCCCUUUAGAAUCCCAGAUUUGGAGAAGUGGAGUAAUACUAACCUUUUAGGCUUAAUUUCUAUAUGUAAAAGCUGUAUUUAAGAUGUAGGAAUUGACUUUCAAUUCAGGUCAAUUCAGUCCUGUCUCAAAUAUUUGCAUGUUUACUGGGAAAGGAAAAUCUUGCUUUCAAGUUCUGAAGAUAGGAGACCUUAAGUACUCAAGUACUAGCUUUGUUCAUAUUCCCACUUCCUGUUUACUCCUCUUAUAAUUCUAGGAAAAGUUAAAUUAUAGAAUUUGAUAUCAUAUAUGGGUCUAAGGGAGAAUCGUUUGAUCCAAGAAUAGAUGGGCAUCCCCUCAAUUUCCAGUUCUUUGCCAAAAUGAGCUGCUAAAUUUUUUUUAGGACAUUUAAGUUCUUUUCUUUUUCCCCUGAUCUCCUUAGGAAAUAAGCCUAUUAGUGGUAUUGCUAGUUCAAAGGUAUAUAUAUUUUAUAACUCUUUGGACAUAAUUUCAGAUUGCUUUCCAAAAUGACUGGAUCAGUUCAAAGUUCAUCAACAGCAUAUUAGUAUCUCCAUUUUUCCACAUCCCCUCCAAUACUUGUCAUUUUGCCCAUUCAUUGUUUUUUGCCAAUUAUUGUAGGUGUGAGAAGAUAUCUGAGUUGUUUUGAUUUGCAUUUCUCUUAGUGAGGAAUUGGUGGUGGAAAGGAGUUGAGGAUGGGCUUUGAGAGGUGGAGCUGGAUAAAGGAACUGUAGCAACAACAACAAUAUUACCUGGCAUUCAUAUAGCACUUUAAGAUUUGCACAGUGCCUUCCAUUUUAUCUCAUUCUAUUUUCACAAACAGCCAUGUGAGGUAGGUGCUAUUAUUAUUCUCAUUUAAUAGUUGGGAAACUGAGUAUGAGAGAGAUUUAGCUACUUGCGUAGGAUAACAGAGCUGGUAAGUAUAUGAGGCAAAAUUGAGCUCAAGUCUUCCAGACUCCAAAUCCAACACUCUAUCUUAAUCUUUGUAGUGUUUGUCAAAUGACUGGAUGAAUUCCAAAGUCACAUCUAGUUAACUUUUUAAAAAUUGUUCCAUUGUUUUAGAUCAUUGAGGAUUCUGUGGGAUCAUGGAUAGCUUUGGUUCCUAGGUUGUUAGCGUGGUGACCUUCAGAGCAUGAAAAUUAUUAUUAAAGGAUUUAUAAGGGGUUUUGGAAUAUCUGUGCCUUUCUUUUCCAGUAGCUAACGGGAGGCAAAUAAAAAAAUCCAGAGAAGACUGCAUAUCUAAAUCUGUGAGUUAAUGAGUUGUGUUAAGUCAGAAAAAUGUUGUUUCAAGUAAACCUUUGGCUUACAAACAAGUUCCUGGAAUGGCUUAAAAGUGCUUAUUUAAAGGGCUGAUAUUGUUAGUGAUCCAGAAUUAGGCUAGCCCUGUGCUUUAACCACCUUGCUAGCCAUUCCCAUGUUUUGUUUUCCAUCCACCUUUGUAUGGAGAUCGUGUGCAAAGCAAAAUGCUGUGCAUUAAUGGAUAGGUUUGGUCCCCAGGGUUGUUAGCCCAGCAACCUUCCAAGUGUGAAAUCCAUUUAGGAAGGGAUCAAGAAAGGAAAAUCAAAAAGAAUGGGAAGAACUGCUUAUACAGGGUGGUUUAUACAGUUAGUGGCGUUAAUUUUUAUAUCCUUGAAAGGGUUUGCUGAAAAGACAUGUAAGUUAAAAAUGCUCUGGUUAAGGCUUUGGUCCUUAGAAUUGCUGCCCCAUCAGCAAGGAAACACUGAAACCAGCAUGACCACUGUAAAUUUAAAGCAACCUAGGACCAAACUGCUCAGGUAAGUCUGAUAGCCAUGUCUCCCCAGUGACUAUUUAUCCAGAUGUCCUUUUGGGAGGGUACAGGACCGAUCUGUAAUGGAUCUCAGGACUGCCUUGUCAAGCCCCUUAGAUGGCUCUUUUUGCUGACCCUAGUUCCUGUGUGUGUGUGUGUGUGUGUGUGUGUGUGUGUGUGUGUGUGUGUGUGUGUGUUUCUAUUCCAUUCUAUUUGUGCAUUCAGGAGUGCAUGGCUAAAACUGCUUCCAGGGCUGCCUUUGUUUGCUUGUCUUGUGCUGCAUCUGUCAGUGAGAUCUAGCAACUUUCUUCCUCCUGAAACAUGACUUGCUGCUCCUAAAUGAACAUGUCAGCUUCUCCUGGCCUCUGAUCCAUGAUUCAAAGCCUUGGGUGUAAAAUAAGCCUGUUGAAGAAACCAUCAACAGCCCACUUGUGUGCAUUUCAACAACUCAACAAACUAGAUAUAAGCUCAGUGGGACAUUUGGAGGAGGGGGGAGCUAAAGAACUAGUCCUGGCUUUGAUACAGGCUUACUAUGCCUUCUGGGAACAUUGCCUCACCUCUCUCAGCUGUAAUUUCUUAUUUGUUAAGUCAGUUUAAAAAUAUUUGCACUGUCUCCCUCAUAAAGUCUUUGGGUCUUAGAGAUCUGGACCUUAAACAGUCAAGUGACUUGCCCAGGGUCUCAGAGUCAAUAUGUGGCCAUCAGAAUUUGAACUCAGGUCUUGACUCGAAGGCUGGUUCUCUAUCCACUAUGUCGCUAUGACUUUCAGUUAACCUGUAGACAUCUCUGUAAACUCAAUGCAUUGGGAAAAUGUAAAUAGGAUCAGAAGUUUGGAAAUAAUGAGUUAGCUGGCCCAACAUCCAUAUUUUACCAAUGGGAAGUUUGAGGCCAGAAAAGUUAAAUGAUUGUCAGAUGGAUCCAGAGUGGCAGAAGCAGGAUUUGAAUUGGAGUCUUCUCAUUCUAAAUCCAUCACUCUUUCCAUUGUAUCACAAUACCUUGGUCAAAAGAAGAUAUCUUUAACUAACUAGACCCAAUGCUGGUCUCCAAGAUCAGAUAAGAUUAUAAUCAAAUGAAUAAGAGCCCAUGGACUUAAGGGAUCCUUUCCCCUUCUCACUUCUGCCAGUAAUACUAUUACCAAGUAUAUAAUCAACCCUUUUCUUCCCUCUACCUCCUCAGUGUGCAAUUAAUCCUGUAACUUUGCACCUGUGUGACCUUGGGCAAAUCAUUUAACUCCUCUGGGCCUCAGUUUUCACAUCUGUAAAAUUAGAGGGUUGAAGUAGAUGACUUGGGAGGUUCUUUCCAGCUCUAAAGCUCUGGUUCUAUCAUCCUGUAAGUACCCAGAAUUCACAGAGAGGUUAACUCUCUAUCUUCCUCUCCAAAUUUCACCAUUUCUUUAUAAGCCUGGAGGAUUUCCGUCUCUAGCUUACACUACCUUGGCAUCUGAUUCAUGAUUCAAAGCCUCUGCCUGACUGUAAAAUAAGCUUCACAAAGUAACAAUUAAGAAACCAUUUCUGCACAUCUCAAGAACUCAAUGAACCAGAUAAUCUCAGUGUGAAAGGUAGGGCAGAUUGGGAGCUGUAUUCAUUCUUUCCUGCCACUAGGGGACUGUAAAUUAGAAAGUUACUGCCUAACGGUCCUACAAAAGGGCCCAUGGCUCAAAAGAGAGGAGGGCAGCUUCCAGAAGCAGUUCGCCUUGCUCAGAAAUCUGCACCUUCGCCUGACAUUGGUCAAGUGCCUUCCUCUUGUUCACACUCUUCAUUCGAUGAGUACCUGACAAUCCACCAUAUAUUUUCCCCAGAAAAAAAAUCAAUGAAUAGAGUUGUUCAGAUGAAAAGCAUUUGGUAUUGUUCAAUUCUUUAAAAAAGUUUUGUUGUUGUUUAUCUUAUUCCCAGUCCUUUGUAUGCAUCCAUAAAAUAUUUUUAAUGGAUGGUCUGGAGUACCCAUGCUUUAGUGUUUUGUUUGCAAGUAAUUCUCUACAGUGAAUAAUUCUGUUAUUCAUUUACUAUACAAAUUAUUUCUUUAGCAGACAUUGAUUUGAUACUAAGGAAAGGGCAAGUCUAUUUAGUCUGCCAAGAAACAAUUAUAGUCCUUCCUUCUUUACUUCUUUUCUUCCCUUCCUUUCUCUUCCUCCAUCCACCCCCCCCAAAUGCUCUCUCCCCCUUGCCACACAGAAUUCUGAAGCUCAAGUUAGCCACCAGCCUCAGCCUCUCUCAGUAGCCUAGAUUACAGGUAUAAGUCACCACACCUAGCCAGUUACCUUUCCUUUAAAAGACAUUUUCACAUGUGCAUUUUUAAAGCUGUCCCUUAUCAGAAAGAGUGGGUUUUCUAAAAGGAGUGUCUUUUAAAAAGAGAGCAUUCUUUUAAACAAAAAAAAGAAAGAAAGAAAAGAAAAGAUCUAAUUACAGUGGAGUUCAGAUUAAAAUUCCCCUAAAAUGCUUCAGGUCACUGUGUACAGGUGACCUGAAGUGACAAAAUCCUUACUGAAUUGUUAUAGUCUCUGAAUUCUUCUAAAAUAGUUCUUAACCUGGCAUUGGUGAACUUUAAAAUAUUUUGGUAUCAGCUGGAAUACUCCAAGCAUAUUGACUGAAAACCUCAGAUGUUUUGGGUUGACUAGGGAGGAGGGUUUUGCCUGUGGUUUGUGAUCACUAUUCUUUACUAAGAAACACUGAGCAUGACCCUAGGCAACUUCAAACAUUUAAAUUGCUCAUCAAUUGGGUUUUUAUUCCAUUGGACAAAAUAUAAGCCUAUUAGAUUGUCUUCUUUUAGUAAAUGGAGAAAGAAGACAGAAUAGUCUCAUGGAAGAUACACUUAAUAUUCUUUUUCCUUCAUUUGAAAAAAAAAUUCUUUUGGUGGCAGAAUGCAUUUUUUUUGUAUUCAUUAUUUUGUGACAUUAUGAGACAUAUUCUUUGUGGCUGAGAUUCUGAAGGAAAGUAUAUUAUGUAUAUUGGAUGAAUUGAACCACCUAAGUUUCAUUAUUUAGCUGAAAAGCAGUGAAAAGAACAGAGCAGAGAGUAAAAUGACACCACAGUAUAGUGCUUGAAAUCACUGGACAUUGGCCUUAAGUAGAAUUGAAGCAUAGAAAAUUUGUUUGAGUACAGCAGAACAAACAUCUUCCCUUUAUUUGUAGAAAUGGCAACAACUCGAGUUAAAUAAGAAUUUGGUGUUGGCUUAACAUCACUGGGAUCUACUAUUGCUGGAUCCCUAUAGAAAAGGUUGUAUAAAGUUAAACAAUAUAGGUGACUGUACAUUUAUUAUUCCUAUGGCAACUUCUAUUGAAGAUUUAUUAAACAGUAUUCUUUAGAUUUAAAACAAUACAUUGGUAUUCCCCUGAAUUCUUUGGAAAGACAUCUUUUCUUUCUUUCUUUCUUUCUUUCUUUCUUUCUUUCUUUCUUUCUUUCUUUCUUUCUUUCUUUCUUUCUUUCUUUCUUUCUUUCUUUCUUUCUUUCUUUCUUUCUUUCUUUCUUUCUUUCCUUCCUAAUGGGCAGAAUGAUUUAGUUUUAUUUAUUUGUAUUUUAGUUCAUUUAAAUAUUCAACCAUUGUCUAUUUUAAAAUCAUGUUGAACUAUUAGCUGGUUAAUGCACAAACAUAGGCUAUUACAUCAUCAGUUUAAAAGACAAUUUUAAUGCAACCUAAAAUAAACUAGGAUGCGCCAAAAUUGACUUUAUUCCCAAAUUGAUUUUCCGGACACUAUAUGGCUUCUGGGUGAACAUAUUCCCUUUUUGUUCAUUGACCUUUCCAAUGAACAAUGUGGAGUGGUCAGGAAUGAGAAAGGGUAGGGUAGCAUUUACAAGUCAAGGACCCUUGUCUCAGAAUGUUCAGCUGUUGAUAUGCUGCUUCAGCACUGGGGCUGAGGAACUUUCCCUGGUAGCACCUCAGCUGAUGGGUGGAAGGAUGGGGGCUUCUUUGUGAGCUGGGCCCCAGAGUGCACUGGGCUUCCAAGAUUAACACAAGCCCUUGAAUUGCACCCUCCAAAAUGGCAAUGUAGCAAUGCUAAUAGGCGCCCAUUUUGAUGGCAAUUUGGCAGGGAGUCAAAAUUUGGCCCUAAAGCAGAGGUGGUACAAUUAGACAGCUGAGAUGCGUUCUCUGAACACACACUUUUAAUUGAUUUCAGCUUGUUCAGUUCACAAAGAUAGAGCUCUGACACAUAGCAGCUUUCUUAGAGGGGCUUAUUUUUACUUUUCCUUUAUUCAGCAGCGUAAUUCAACAGCAGCAGAAGCAACAAUAAUAAAGAGUUCUAAAGAGAGGGUGUUUGGCAUGGUUUGGAUACAAAAAGUAUUAUUAAGAACUAAUGAGUGAGAUAGUUAGAUGUUAACCGGAAAAGCAUUAAUGAGCAGAAUAGGGUUCUGGCAUAAACAUCUGUUUCUGAACAGAUGUUACCUUGUAAAUCUGCUGAAGAAAUGCCUUUGUAAAUGGAGCAAUGGACCCUUUUAGGUAAUAGGAGGGACAGAAGGAUGUUUUGAGGUUUCCAAACCCAACUUUUCAGCUGUUUUGAGACUCACAAGAGACUGAGUAUUUUAAAGCAAUGAAUCUUCCAGGGCAUUGGGGAGUCACAGAAAGGACUGGCUAGUAGUAUGUGAAAGCCCUGAAGCACAUUGGGUUUGACCAUAUAAUAUAAUAGCCAGCAAGUUUCUGUCCAUUUCAUUGUAUGAAUCUGGGAUACUCAUUAACUGCGAAUUUCAUGCUCCUUGACUUUGGGAGCCUAUGACUGGAAGGAAAAUCCCACUGAGGGCAAAGUUUGUUUUCAGUGCUUCUUUAUAUCACUUUUCAUGUCUGGCUGGGCUUCUGUUCCUAACUCACCUGCAUGUCCAUGGCUUUUGGAGUAUGGUGCUGGACUUGGGGUCAGGAAGACCUGAGUUCAACUCCUACUUUAUAUGCCCAUUAGCUUUGUAACCCUGGGAUAAGACAAGUAAGCUUUCUCAGGCUCUGUUUCUAAAUCUGCAAAAUGGAGAUAACCUUUUUUUACCAGGUUGUUGUGAGACUCAAAUGUGAUCAUGUCUAUAAACAACUUUGCAAACUUUUAUGUAAAUGUUAGCUGUUUAUUUUUUUUAUCUUUCUUCUCCUUCUUCUCUUCCACCAUUUUCCCAUCACUGUACUACUUUCCAGUGCCUCCCCCAAAUUCUAAGACUCUAUCUUCCAUUAAAACUUUCCCUUCAUAGCUGUGUCCUUUUAGUCCCCCAUAUUCUAACUUUAUCCUGACUCUUCUUCCUUCCUCAAAAGGUUCCCUUCAUAACUGUCUCUUUUCACAGUUUUUGAAGCAGAGAUAAUAUUUUGCAAACCACUCUGCAAACUUUAAAAAGCCAUGUAAAUGAUUAUUAUUAUCAGUACAAAUGAAUUUGUGCUAAUGAGGCAAAGCUUCUAUAAGUAUAUCCCUCCUAGGUAACAUACAAGCUAUUUUUUAUCAGGGGGCCUCCAAUGUCUCUCUUCAAAGAUGUGACAAGAGGUAGUAAUGUAUUGUACUGGGAAAUCUCAGAGGGGUUUGGAGAUAAUUAUAAGCUGAACCUUUUGGGGCCCCUCAAAUCACACCAUGUAGGGGACUGCCUACUCUGAGUACAUAGUGAUCCACACCAUCUUGAUAAUAUGAGCACUUAGAAUCAUAAAGUGAGAAAUCAAAGUACCUUUAUAGACCACCUCAGCUAAUACCUUUUUCUUUAAACAUGAAGAAGUAGAUGUAGAGAAAUAAAGUGACUGAACCAGAGUUUCACAGAUUGAACCAGGAUUAGGAUCCAGGUAUUCCGACUCCUGAUCCAAUACUCAUUCCAAACUAUCCUGCUAUAAAGUAUUCCUUUAUCAUAUACCUUGUGCUAUUCAUGAAUUAUUCCUGAUGACAAGUAAAUAGGGGGCCUUUUGUCAGAAGACACUAAAGCAAUUCAGAAAAAAAAAAAAACAUCCUUAAAAUAUGUUGAGAGAGAAAAUAAUCCCUAAAGGAAGUGGAUUUGGGGGGGGGAUAGUAGGGUAUGAGGAGAGAGAUUAGGAAGGGGUUGCAUGAAAUCUCUUUCUUAGCCUUAGAGGUUCUAGUUCAAGAUAACAGUCAGCAGAGUUGGCUUAAUAAUUUUCAUGAUAACUGGUUUUGCUCUCCAAUAUCUUUCAAAAGCUCAUUUUAACUGGCAGCAUAACUAAAUGGUACAUGCUGAAAUCUGUGGAAGUGGUGAGCUGGUUUGCAUCGCCAUAUUGAAUGCUAUCACAAACUCCAAAGACAUGGGGUAGUUUAUCACUUGUUACUGUUGGAAAGGUCCAGGUGAAGCAGAAAGGCACCAUUAAGGAGAAAUAGGAGGUAGUAUAUGCCAGGUGAGUCAAACCAUUGCCGCUUCUUCAACCUAUUGACUCUUCUCAGACUCCAGUGGAGAUAGCUCAUGUCCCUGAACCUAAGAGCCAUGGGAAUAUCAAGGUCCCCCAUACCUCUGACUCUGCUUCUUUCCUAGCCCCUGAGGUCAUCAUCUUGAGGAGCAACCCCAAUGGAAAUGAGAGCUGGCAAACUGACUCUGUAGAUUCUCUUAGCUACUGAAGAAUUAGAAAAGAGGGUUCUCAGUGCCAAAGUCCUUGGUAUUGUCAAAUGAGUUAAAGUUAGGUGCAAGAUGUGAUUUUUCAGUGGAAAUGACAUUUUAAAAGAUCUAGUAUUAUCUGCUUUGCUACUGCAUCCUAACAACCAUGAGAUCUUUCCAUCUGACUUCUCUCCAAAAUCUCUCAUGCUGUUAUUAUUCAGUUGUAUCCGAUUCUUCUUGAUCCCAUUUGGGGUUUUCUUGGCAAAGAUAAUGGAGUGGUUUGCCAUUAUUUUCUGAAGUUCAUUUGACAGAUGAGGAAACUGAAGUCAGCAGUGUUAAGCAACUUGCCCAGGGUCACAGAGAUAAAAAGUGUCUGAGACUGGAUCUGAACUCAAGUCCUUCUGAUUUCAGACCUGGUACACUUUCCAAUAUAGCACUUGGCUACCCUGAAAUCUCCUCUAUGUAUUGACUAUUCCACAGGAAUUCUUAGCCUUUUUUUGUGUCUUGAACCCCACUAACAAUGAGUGUACCCUAAGGCUGCAUCCUGAGUUUUAUUCUUUUUAGUUUUUAUACCAGCAGUUAUCAGACUUUUCAGUCUAAGGACCCCUUGUCACUACCAAAAAAAAUUUUUUUUGAAGAACUUCUAAAGAGAUUUUGCUUAUAUGGGUUAUAUAUAUUUACAUAUGUAUAUAUCAAUAUUUUCCAUAUUUGCAAUUAAAACAUCUUUAUAUUAUUUAGGAAAAAAAUUGAACUUAUAGACUCCCUGAGUCUCAGGAAUCUGUAGGUUUUUGAGAUUUUGAGAAAUUCUGUUUUAUACUGUCUUACUUAGUGAUCCCAUCGGCUUCCAUCAAUUCCCAUGGAUUUAGCUAUCAUUCCUAUACAAAUGAAGCUUACGUAUCUAGCCCUAAAUAUUCUCUUGACCUCUAAAGGUCUCAUAUUAUUAACAACUUACUGGUCUUGAACUGGAUGUUCCUUGGGCAUCCUAAACCCAAUAUGCACAAAACAGAACUCCAUAUCUUUGCCCCCCCGAAAAAACUCCCCUUCCCAUUCCACUUACUAAGCUCCUAUCAAACCUGAAAGUGUCUCUUUAGCUUCUACUCAUUGUUCCUAGUGGUGCCUUCUGAGAUCAAGUGAACAAGUUGAAUCCUUCUACUAACUGAAGAUUCUUCUUGAAGUUAGCUUUCAUAUUCCCAUUAUAUCUUUCCUUUUUAAGGCUAUAAACCCCUUUUCUCCCAGUUCUUUCAACCAACCCCUUAGAAAUCAAUAGCACAGAAACCUUCACUAGCACUCUCCUUAUCAAUGGCCUUCCCAAACAUGUCACCCACUUUUUGUUGAGGUUCCAGAUGCGUUAGGCUAAUGCAAUAUGCAUUGGUGAUAGAUGAAAUCUCUUGAUGAUGAUUUUUUUCUUUCCUGAAGGAAAGUGGAAAACAUUUCUGGGAUUAGACAAAUUUAAAUUUUUCCUUUUGAUGCAUAGGAGUCUUUCACAGUAAUUGGGGGAACCUAUCAUGUGCCAACAAACUGAUUUUGUGUUACUUUCAGUGAAAACUUAUGCUUCAGUGAGGCAUUUAUGAUGCCCAAAGUUAUUGUGACUUCUCAAAAGAUAAGUGACUGCCAUUUUAUACACAAUUAACGUUUGUUAUAAUUCAUGUCUUCCUGAAACCUUUAUUUUCACUGUAAAGAAAGAUGAAAAAUAGGAAAAUAAGUUUGAGUCAAUAUUUUAUGCUUAUUGUAUAAAUUAUUCUCAAUUAAUAGAAUUAUGUUUUGAAAGGGCCUUGAGAGGCCAUUUAGUCUAACCAUUUAAUUUUAUGGGUGAGAAAAAUGAGGUUUAAAGAACUUAAAUUGAAUUCCUUAGAGUCACAGAUGGUAAGGAUUUGAACCCAGAUUUUCCCAAAUUGAAAUCUGGCACACUAACCUCUUUUCCAGUUUGGUAGUUUGCCUCUAUAAUACUUCUUUACUUUAUAAGGACUAUUGCUGUUCAGUUGUUUUGUAAUAUCCAACUCUUUGUGACACUGUAUGAGGUUUUCUUGGCAAAGAUAUAGGACUGGUUUGACAUUCCUUUCCCAAUAGACUUACACAACUAGUGAGUGUCUGAGGUUGGAUAUGAACUCAGGUCUUCCUGACUCCAAGCCCAGUGCUCUAUCUACCUAACCACCUAGUUUCCUUAUGCACUAAAUAAUGUUGGCCUAAUCAGCAUAAUUUCAUUGUAGUAUUUUUUUUAAAGAUUCUAACUAAGGUCCAUCAUAAAACUGUUAACCUCACAACAACCUCCUUAGCCAGUCAUUAAUAUUAUUAAUUAUAUUAAUGUAAUAGAAGGAUUAACUGGGGCUUUGUCCAAGGUCCUAACAGUUAGACUAUCCCAACAGCUCUUGUACAUCUUCAGCUAGUAGGAACAACAGAGUUUUAGCACCUGGUUAUCAAGAAUAGGAUAGAGAUAGGGAAUAGACCUGAGAUUUCAUUAGUUUAGAGAACUUCUGGACUAAGAAAUUCCUCUAAACAGUGUGAGUCAAUGCCAUUUUACUAUUGUUGCUGUUAUAAUUAGAAAUGUCUAAUGAGAUGAGAGUCUAAGUAACUUGUUCAGUCAUUUAGCCAGGAUAUGUCUUAGGAGAGACUUGACCCCAGGCCUUCCUGGCUUUAAAUCCAGCUCUCUAUGCCCUUUAUAAUUUGGUAAGAAAAAAUAAAUCAAAAUAGAAAACUCACAAAUGGUCACUUCCUUCUCUCACUCUCAGGUGAAUAACUCCUCAAAGAGACUCCUUUCUACUACUACUGUGGAGGGAACAAUUUCCUCAGCAACCAAAUCAUGGUGCCUUUGGGAUCAUGCUCUUAAGAACUAGUUUCCUCAAAUCUCUGUCUCCUCCAUAACUCUGUGCCAUUUGAUGUCUCCUCUAAUCCCAAGUCUUCCUGCCCUCUAUCACGAGUGCCCCAAGCUCUAAAAAUACUAGUUAUAGCUUUGCUUUUUAGGCCAAUUAGUUGGGGCCAGUACUGCAGAGACCUUUAUGUCCCCUUCCCUCCCCACAAACUCCCCCAUUCUUACUCCUUUAAUUAGCACCUUGGCUUGGUACUUCAGAUGCUUUGCCUAUGUCUGCCUGGACCCACUCUUUAAACAUUAACAUCCUUUUUACCAGGGGCUCCAGUCUUGCCAUGUCUCAGUUACUUUUCUCUGGUACCAACUACUUCCCUGUUCCCUUAACAUCCUAUUUUAGAGGAAGCAAUAAAUGACAAUAGGAAAGGUCUUUUUUUAAAGUAGGCAAUAAUCUAAUAUAUUAUUAAGAAAGUCACAGAUGGUGAGUGCUUUUCAGCUCAUUUUGCCGACUCAUUAUUUAGUUUAAAAAAAAAUCCUGACUGAAUUUAGAAUUUAGUGAAUAAGUAUGAUGUCUUUUAGACAAUGGAUCAUUAGUUCCUGUAGAAGGAUUUAAGGAUUAACAAAUUUGAUAACUGAAGGAGGGGGAAACCAGGAAUGGAGAAAAGGAGAAAAAAUCUCCUUCUUUCAAUAACAUCCAAUAGAUUUUAUUGUCUCCUUCUAGAACUAAGAAUGUUUGACCCAAGAAAAUGUGUAUAGUUUUGCUAUUUUGGCCCCAUACUAAAAUUCACAAGAAAAAGGUUAGAAGAACUACAAUAUUUGUAACACAUUGGCCAUAAAUUCAAUACAGCACAUAUAAAACAUUCUGUUUCCUAGGGUGUUAUAGCAGAGAUUUAGUAUCAGAAACAUCUGCAUAUGAGCAAUAAAAUUAACCUCUGGUGUGUUGCACACAAUUGUUACUGACAUACAUUAACAUUAGUGACAAUUUGUAUGUGAUUAUCUAAGAUAACAUUUAAUCUGCCAACUUCAAGCUUGCAGCCUCUAAAGCUUCAGCUUCCAUAUGUAUAUAUGCAUAUAUAUGUAUAUUUCCACCAAAGUCACAUAAGCAAAUUUAGAUGCGUGUGUGCUUGUUUUUCAGGGUUUUGAGAUGGUGUAUAUACAAAGGGACUGUUCUAGAACUGAUUUCCCAUUUGAGUGGGAAUUUGUGUGUCUCAUUCUAAAAUGUGACGAGUAAAUAGAAAGAAUGAGAAAUAGUGAUGCAUGUAUCUUCUCAGCAAAAAGGUGGUCAGCUGUAAGUAUGGGAUGAUGUAUUAUAUGAUUACACAUGACUGUGUCGAUUUCAUUUGGUUAACUCUAAUUAUUUGAUGCAAAGAGAUUUCUUCUUGGGCAUAGAGGACAAUUGUUAGAAAGUGAGUUGUUGUUCAGUCUUUUCCAACUCUUCAUCAUCCCAUGGACUACUGUCCAUGGGGUUUUCUUGACAAAAAAAAAAAUUGAAGUGGCUUGCCAUUUCCUUCUCUUCUGGAUUAAGGCAAAUAGAGGUUAAGUGACUUGUCUGGGGUCAUACAGCUAGUAAGUAUCAGAGGGUAGAUUUGAACUUACAUCUUCCUGACUUCAGAUCCAGCUACCUACCUGCCUCACUGGAAAAUGAGAUUCAUGAUAAUUAAAUAAAUUUUUAAAAGUAAAUAAAUAAAAAGAGUGUAGGGCAUUAACAUGGGACUGCUGAGACAUAAUCAAAGGCAUAACAAAUUUGGAGGAUUGUUUACUGUCUGCAUAUUGUAAUUAUAUACCAAACUUUAUCAUUUCUAUGAUUGAAAUAAAAAUGGAUUUUAAAAUGUUACUGAAGCAUCUAAAAGAUUUUUUUAAAGGAUGGGAAGAGGGAGGAAGAGGAAAUGGAGAGGGAAAAAGAGAGGGAAAGGGAGAAGAAUGUUAAUGAUUAGGUAGUUUUUCCUUAUGUCAGACUUAAGUUAUAUUUUUCAAACCAUUACCUUCUGUCUUAGAAUAUUGGUUCUAAGGCAGAAGAGUGGUAAGGGCUAGGCAAUGGGGAUUAAGUGACUUGCCCAGGGUCACACAGCUGGGAAGUGUCUGAGGCCAGAUUUGAACCUAGGACCUCCUGUCUCUAGGCCUGGCUCUCAAUCCACUGGGUUACCCAGCUGCCCCCCUAAGUUAUUUUUUUAAACCAUUAUGUUCUAUCCUAUGUAUUUUUUUCCAAGAUAGAAGAGUAGUAAAGGCUAGGCAAUGGGCAUUAAAUGACUUGCCCAGGAUCACAUAGCCAGGAAGUACCUGAGGUCAGAUUUGAACUCAGGACUUCCCAUCUCUGGGCCUGGUUCUCAAUCCACUUAGCCACCUAGAUGCACCCAAGAAGUCUAUUUUUUACCUUUUAUAAUUAUGCUUAUCUUUGUUAGAUAUAUUAUUCUUAGUUGUAAUCCCAGUUCUUUUGUUCUAUGAAAUGUCAUAUUUCAUGUCCUACAUUCUUUUAAUGUAGCAGCUGCUAAAUCUUGUGAUAUUCUGACUAUAAUGCCACAAUAUUUAAACUGUUUUUGCUUUUGUUUUUGUUGUUGCUUGUAAUAUUUUCUCCUUAACCUGGGAGUUAAAGAGCUUAGCAAUGAUGUUCUUGUGCAUUUUCAUCUUUGGCUGUUUUUGAGGUGGUGUUUGGUGGAUUCUUUUAAUUUCUAUUUUACUAUCUGAUUCUAGAAUUUCUGGGUAGUUUUGCUUGAUCAUUUCUUGGAGUAUAGUAUCUAAACUCUUUUUUUUUUUAAAUCAUAACUUUCUGGGAGCACAAAUAUUCUUAUUUUGUCUUUCCUUGAUCUAUUUGUCAGAUUGUUUUUGUCAUAGGAUGUCUUAUAUUUUCUUCUGUUUCAUUCUUUUGAUUUUACUUUAUUAUUUCCUGUUGUCUUAAGAAAUCAUUAGCUUCUCCUUAUCCAGCAUUAGUUCUCAAUAGAUUACUUUUUUCCUUAGUAUUUCUAGAUCUCUUUUCCCAUUUGGAUGAUCUUUCUUUCACAAUUUUCUUGAUUUUCUUGCAUUGCUCUUAUUUUUUUUCUAAUUUUCUUCAAUUUCUCUCAUUUGGUUUUUGAGGUCUUUUUAAAGCUCUUCUAAAAGCUCUAAGCUUAUAGCUACUAGUUAUUAUUUUUGUGUGUAUCCUUGGAACAGCAAAUGGUAGACCACCUAGUCUCUAUCCCACCAUCCUGGAUGACCCAUGCAAUUGACAAAAAUAAUAAUCUAGGUAAAAACUUCAUCAUUUUAAAAAAUAUACUAUCCUUGUUCCCUACCCAACUACCAAAUAUUCAAUAUUUGUUUGAAUUCUUGUAGGUUUCAAAUAAUCUUCAAGAUAAAAGGUGUCUCAAAGGUCUUAGUGAAGCUUUAUACUAGACUUUUGGGACACUGUAUACAUAAAAAUUGCUAGUGAGUUUUAAAUAAUGACAAUAUCUUCAGUUGCCCAUCUUCCUGCUACUUUCCCCCUAUAAAUGCAUGAGCUGGAGUCAUGCAUUGACUGGCUUUCAGGCUUGACAUUUACAAUAACUUUUUGAUUUAGACUUACAAGGGUCCUGCUCAGAGGAUUUUAUUGCCUCCUAGCUACUUGUUCUAAAAUUACAGUAAAAGAAGAUACAGGGGGUGCUUCCAUCCUUCUGUCUUUUAGUAACUUAGUCUAAUCCUAAGUGCCCUCUGCUGACAUUUGUUUUUACAAUUGCCCUACAGAUAGGAUCAUUAUAGAGUUGUAUCAGACCUUAACGGUUAUUUAAUUACACUCAUUGAAUCUUACAGAAGCUGAUGCAAGUUGUGACCUGCCCCAGAUCACACAGCUAGUUAGUUGCAGAACUACAUCAUACUCGAGGAUUCAUGAUUCCUAAUUCAGUCAUCUUUCCACUAUAGCAUUCUGCCUACCUAGAUUUGCCAAGGCCUUUGGGAGGGUUUCUUGAUUCAGUGGUAGUCACCAGGAUCUGCACAGAGAGAGAGGUCCCAAGCCUUCCAGUCAAGGAUAGAGUGUUAGAAAAGGGCUGGUCAGUAGAGAAAUGGAAGGGAGCCAUCUUGUCCUGUUGGCACAUAGCCUCCCCCUACCUCCAGGCUUCUCUGGAAUCCCAGUGACCCUGCUGUCUAAAAUCUUUUUUUUUUCCUCCCAAUGAAUAGCUCCCAAGAGGAUCAUUGGCUGAGUUUAACAACAGGGGGGCCUUAGCUCCUCCAUUAUCAUCAUGUCAAUGCAAUCACUGGGAAUUACUGUUGAGGAUUUAAAGUCACUUGGGAAUAAUUUAGCCAGGCUGGAGGGGGGAAAAACACAACCACAAACAGAUUGUUAAAAACUAAUAGCUGAAAAGAAACAGGAAAGCAAAACACAAUGGGAAAAGGUAUGGCUGGGACUAGAAGCUCUAAAAUUGUGAAUAAGUGGUAUAGGUUUUAGAAUGAUCUGUUUGUUAAACACUUUUGAUCAAGUUGGAUACACAGUGAAAUCAAGAGGAGCAGCUGCUCCCCAACUCUCAGCAUUGCUCUGUUACAGAACUUGUAACAUUGCUAUGCUCUGGGCAUCUGUUACUGAGAAUACCCGGAGAUUCUGCCAAAAGAUCUCAGCUUGGCAUAAGAAAACUUGAAAUUUGGAAUGCAAUUGAGAGAAAUGCUUCCUUCUUUGGCUCCAGGAAGGAUUCAGUAAGUAGCAGUACUCAGUGAGUUUUCCUUAUCUUCGUGGAGGUUUAAGACAGUUACGAUUUUCUAACUUUUGUAGUUAUCCUGGAUUACAAGCAAAGGACCAUAAACAUGUUUAUGUUCUGUUUUGAGAAGGACUUGACAUUUACAAUUACUUUUUGAUUUAGACUUGCCAGGGUCCUGCUCAGAAGAUUUUAUUUCCUCCCAGGCACUUGUUUUAAAGUUACAGUAAGCUGCCACUAGGUGGAUGGUGUUUGCUUGAUUUAUGAAUGUUUCACUGAGGUGGCCUUGUAGGUUAAUCCUAAAGGAGUGACUAAUUGAGUCAACGAGAAUGGGGGCCUCAGACCCCAAUAUAGUACUCCAUAUAUGGUCUGACCAGGGGAUCUUGAGCAGGAUGCUGAUAAGACAAAGGCUUCUGAUUUUCCAUUUAAAAAGGAUGAAUUCUUAUUCAUCUGGUCCAUCUUACCCAAAUAUGCAUUUUUAAAAAUAAAAUUAUAAACAGAAUUAUUUAUCCUAAGAGCUCAAAAAAGAACAAAGAUGGCUGAAAAGAUUUAAAAGUCAUCUUUUCCAGUCACAUUCUAUGAGUUGAGCAGUUGCCCAGUAGGCCAUGAAGAGACUGCAGAACCUCCUGUGUAUAACCCAGUCUUGAUUAUCUGCCAGAGUAUUAUCACAUGCUUUGGAUCAUAACUUUAGGGCUAGAAGGAAUUGUGGUAUCCAUUUAGUUCAGUUCCUUAACAUGAGGAAACUAAGUCCUAGAGAGAUUGCUAAGGCUACAUAUAUAAGCAUACGUAUAGAUAUAGAUAUGGAUUGAGAGAGAGAAGGGAAGGGAGGGGAAGAGGAAAAAAAAGAGGAACAAAGGGAGAUCACAUUUAUUAAGUGUUUACUACAUGCCAGGAAUAAAACUAGAAAGUACCAAAAGUAAAUAAUGUAAAUAAUGUAGGGCUUCUUGAUCCUCCUCAUCUGGAUUGUAAUCUAAUAAUAUUAGUUCUAAACAAGGAAGAACAGAAAGCAGGAUCAGAAAUAUAGCAGAGCAAUAUAUAAUGAGAGCUGAUGUUUUUAUCAUUCUUUUACGUUUACAAAGCCCUUUAUGUAACAUUAUCUCAUUUAAUCUUAACAGUAGCAGUCAGAGGGAGGUUACUGCAACUAUUAGUUGCCUUUUCUACAGGGGCUCUGAGAAAUUAAGUGGGUUGUUUAAUCAGGGUCACACACUAAAAGUCAAAGGUAGAUAUUGAAUCCAGGUCAUCCAAGAUGAUAUUCCAGAGCCCUGGGCUUUCUCAGCUACAGUGUAAAUGGUGUCCUAAGUGUAUGCUGUGUCACCACCAACUCUCCAAAGUCAAAUGGAAAUAACUUUUGAAUUAACCAUUGUUUUUGUAUUUUCUACACCUCUUUUUCCCACCUCUUCUGUUUAGUGUUAGUAGAUAAUCAAGAGAUGACUAUGUAUUCCUGCUUUUCUUUCACUCUGCAUAAUGCAGCUAUAUUAGAGCUAUUCUCUUGGUUUGUAGGAUUUUUCUUAAAAUGAAAAGGGAAGUUAAUCAAGCUUUCCUGCCUACUAUAAUUCCAAGAUUGGUGGUGAAUGCCUCUCCAAAUGAAUAUUUUUUUUUUGUUAAAUCAGUGCCCACACUUGGAAAGGGAAUAAUGAGAAAAGGAGAGAGAGACCACACACAAAACUUAGGUUAUCCAAAUGAGCCCCACUCAAAAAUAUUCUUUAUAGUCAACAGAGAACUCAGCAGGACUUAAAGAUGGAGGUACUUCAAAUUCCAUUUCCUUGUCCAGCACAAUUGGUAGGGUAACAAUUCCAAAAAAGACUUCCAAGAUUUCCCCUUUUGUACAGAAAGAUGUCAUCUCUGAUGUCCUCUGUUCCUUUUGCUUCAUUUCCUAGUACCUGGGACUAGUAGGGAAGUAAGGUGGUAGCUUUAUUCCAAAAGUUAAGUGCUUUAGGAUCUUUAAACCAUAUGAUGAGUUAAAUGGCAUGAAGGUCAUAAAUUAGAUUACUAGCAUCCCCUAUUUCUUAACCAGAAAAUAAGUAAGUCUCAUCUAUGAUCUUACACAUCACAGGUCUUAUAAUUUUCUCUUCUGUGGAUGAAUGCUGACCUACCAUUGAAAGGGGAAAGAAAGUUAGUUUAUCCAGGGGUAAAAAUUCUAAUGAGCAAAGAUUCUAUUAUUAAGGAAAGGAUCCUCAACUAUGACUAUUUAAACAUGAAAAUGCAUGUGUAUAUAUAUAUAUAUAUGUAUAUAUAUAUAUAAUAUAUUAUUUUCUAACAAGUAAGAUCAAUCCCUUUACAUUCACAAAAGGAAGAAUGGCACUUCUAGAGUUACAAAAACCCUAAAUAGCCAAGCUAUAUAUAUAUAUAUUUAUAUGUAUAUAUAUAUAUAUAUAUAUAUAUAUUUGUUAAAGGCUUAUAUUCAUUAAAGGAAAGUUCUUAUCAAUUACAAACUAUUAUCAAAUAAAGGGCUACAGUUAUAGGCUAUCUGGCUCCUACUUUGCAGAGCAGAAGGUGGGAUUGGAGAUGGGGAUUAUUUCCCCCUUUUUAUUUUACUUUUCCUUCUACCUCUAUAAAAUUCAUUUAAUUUUUCAAGUUUGAUGAAUAAAAAUGGUAACUGAUAUUAUAUCAGCAAAAGUGCGUUUAAAGGUUAUUCAGGUCUCUUUAAGGCUUCUAGUUUGGGAUUUUCCUGUACUGAAUGAUCAUGUAAGCAGUGUUAGGUUUUAGAACAUCAAAAGAUUACCAGGUUUGUAUUUGAAGGGGCUAAAUGGUGAAAAACUCCAUUGGGGGAAACAGCUGGAAUAGAUGUCAUUGUUGUAGGAUACUAAAGUAGACAGAAAUGAAAAAGGCUAUUUUUCAUCACUAACUCCUCUAUGAGAAGGCUUCAUUUUCUUUUGUUGCUUUGUAUUCUGAUUGGAAUUUUAAUAGCAUCAUCACCUAUACUCAAAAUGAAUGUAUGUACUCACUCAGAUUCACUGCAACAGGAGAAAAAAAUAAAUAAACCUGUAAUAGGAGAGAAGCAUUCAUUCAGCUUCUGAUAUGAUGAAGUGGAAACAUUUAGAAGUUGCUUCUAAGAAGGGUAGCACAUACUUUGAGAAAGGAUAAUCUGGGAUAGAAUCCUGCCUCUUAGACUUAAGUAUCAUAUGUAUAAAUUACUAACCGUCUUUGAACCUCAAUUUCCUCAUCUGAAAAACAAGGACUUAUAAUAAGUACUUUAGAGAGUUGUGAGAAUCAGAAUAUAUAAGGUAAUUUACAAAAUGAAAAUGCUACAUAAAUGUCUGAUGUUAUUAAAUUAUACUUUCAGAGCUUGGCAUAUUCUCUAUCAAGUCAGAUCAUUUGGAGAGAAUUUAUAGGUGAAACCAGAAGGACAAUAACAAUAACAACAAUAACAACAAAAACCAAACAGGAAAAAAAUCAGUCAAGAUUUUUUUUUCCAUCUGUGAUAGUGGAGCCAUCACAUUGGGAGUCACUCUAAUGUUACAGUCCUCAAGCUACUUCAUGGCUUGAAAGAAAAAGACGGGAAGGACUACUGCCAGACCAAAUAGGAGAGGGGAGGGGAGGGGAGGGAGCUAUUCAAUUUUGAGGGCGGAGCUCAUGAAAAAUAGGAGAGGGAGAAAAAUACACUAAAUGCAUGUCGAAAAGUCAUGAAAGGUAUUACUGCCAAAAAUGGUUAAGAUAUCACCAAUAACUACCAAUCAAUCUUUCUCAUCUCUUUGUUUUUAAGUCAGAUUUACACAAUUAUUAAGGACAGUUUUGGUAAAAAUAUGAGAAGGGAAAAGAUAAGCUUUCAUAAAUGAUAUUUUAGGGUUGGCCAUAUCUUUAUAGCAACACAGUUGACUUAAUUGUGGAUAUCUAAUAUCCCACUGUGCUUAUGAAUUUUUUUCUGUUUUUUUUUAAAGCAUUUUAUUCAGUUCAGCAAAAUGCUUCCCUAAAGGCUCCACUCUAAUAAUAUAUCUCCCCUGAAUAUAUGAGACUCAUAAAAGAUUUCUUUAAAGAUCCCUUGAUUGUCACAAAAGGGAUGAAUUUGCUUGAUGACUCUCUAAUUAUUAAUAACAAACAAUGCAUGAAGCAGAGAGAUAUAUGCUUCCCAAAAAUGUUUGCCACUAUCAUGAAGGACAUCUAGUGUAGAAUUCAUGUAUUCACUACCUAAUAACCUUGGGUUCUUAGGCUUUGGAUUUUAAAAAUGUUUUAGUGACUUUAUUUUGAUAUAAAGAUUCCUUUGCAAUCCUAUUCAUUUUAUUUUAUGCAUUUAAAACCCAUUGCUCUGAGACAAAGUCCAUAGACUUCAUUAGACUGCCCACAAGGUCUAUGACACAAAAUAGCUAAGAACUCUUGCUAUAAAUGGUGAGAUGCUCUGAAAGGCAAUGUUGUACAGUUACAGUGCAUUCUGUUUCAAGUCCCACAACAUCACAAAGCCCCCUUAAUGAAGGCCUUAAUCACUUAAUAAAUCUUUGACAGCUAUUCAGAUAGAAAAAAUUAAGGAGAUGAAAAAUAUUUAUUGUCCAAACAUUUGAGCUGAUCCAUCACUACAUGUAUUGAUAAAACAUUGAAAAUGGAUAAUGAAUUGGACAGAAAUGUGAAUGAAAGAAUAAAAUGGGGGUAGUACUGCUGAUAAGAAAGUCAACAGUGCUGUUAAUAACACUAAAUUUUCUUAAAAAAGAAUGAUUUUUAAUAUCAAUAUCCUUUAAGUGAUUCCAGAUGACUAUGAUAAAUAGAAUGACAAAGAAUUAGAAUUGUGGAUCACUGAAAGGGCAAUGGAGAGAAACAGUACCUAUUUAGACUUGAAGCUAUUACUAACAACAAAUUAGGGGCAAAGAACAUCAUAAAAGUUGUCAUCAGUGACCAGAAAAGUUGGUUUUCCAGUCAUGUAGCAAAAGGAAGAGAUAACAGAUGGACAGCCUACAUGCUUCAUUGGUAUCCAUGUAAUGUUAAGAGACAAACUAAGAAGGGCCCUAGCAUGUUGGAUAGACCCCCUUGGGCAAUUUAUAGGAGCACAUGGAAGAGCAUAGUAAAUGAGAUAUGUGUGUGUGUAUGAAUAUGGAUAUAUCCAAGGUGUCUUAAUGAAUUUUAAAACUUGAAGAGUUUUAAACUUCACUAAGACUUUUGAGAUAUCCUCUGUAUGUCUUUAGGAGCAAUACCUGUGUCAAAGAGUAGGACUGGCAUGUAGACAAAAUUUAAAGACUACAUAUUUCUCAAAAGAGAAAAAUAUGUCAUUAACAAUUAAUAAUGCCAGUACAGUUAGGUGACUCAAUGGAUAGAUCACCAGAUGUAGGAUUGGAAAGAUCUGGGUACAAAUAUGAAGUCUUCUUAGCUGUGUGACUCUGGGCAAGUCACUUAGCCCCAUUUGUCUUGCCCUUGCCCUUCUGUCUUAGAGUUGUUAAUAAAGCAAAAAGUAAAGGUUUAAAAAAAUUUUUAAUUAAAAAGUAUUUUAAAUAAUGCCUUACACAUAGACUAGUAAAAAAUUAGCCAAGUGAAUCAUCAAGUGCCUAUAUGUCCUAAAGAUCAUGCUAGGCACUGGGAUUAAAGAGAAAAGUGAAACAAUCCUUAUCUUCAUUGGUUUACAUUCUAUCAAGGAACAUAUAUAUUGGCAUAGGCUUAUAUAAAAUCUAACCAAAACAAGUAUAAAGUAAUUUGUGGGGGAUGGUAAUAGCCGCUAGUGGUAUCUGGACAAGCUUCAAGUAGAAGAUAAAAUUUGAGCAGAGUCUCUUACAGGAAAAUCGGGUGUUUUAAGAAGCAAAGGUAAAAAAGGAAUACAUUAUAGGCAUGUAGGACAGCCUUUCCAAAAGCAUGGAGAUAAGAGAUGGAAUUUUGCUUAAGAAACAGCAAGAAGGCCAAUUUAGUUGGUUAAUAGAAUGAAUAGAAGAGAGAAAUGGGUAAUAAGGCUAGAAUAAUUAGUGAUAACUAGUUUGGAAGAGCUUCAAAAGCAAAAAAAAAAAAGAUGAAUUUGUAUUUGGUCCUGAAGUUAAUUGGGAGCCACUAAAGUUUAUUGAGUAAGGGAGCAAUGUGUCAGACCUCUUUUUUGAGGAAAAUCAUGUUGGUAGUAUGUGAAGGAUGAAUUAGAGUGAGGAAAGGCCUAAGAUCGACUACCAAUUUAGAGACUUUUUCAAUAAUUCUGUGGAGAUGUGAUAAGGGCCCAAAUGAGGGUUUGGGAGGUAUGUUAAGAGAGAUGGGUGAAAGCAAUGUUAUGGAGGUUAUAGGUAUUAUGGAAAUGAAUUUACAAGAAAUUAAGCUACCAUUGCCCUCAGAGUGACUUAAGUGGAAGGGACACUACCUUGAGGAUGUGGGAAUUACGAUCUUGUCUCAGAAAGGAGAGUGAACCUCUACCAAACUGUAAAGAAACUGGGAUUAAAAGAAAAGUUUUCACUCAUUGGAGAAGCAGUGUAUAGCAGCAUACAUAAUGUGGCAUUAAAAUAGGUCAUUUAAAUCUCCUUUGGCUGUGAGUUAUUAUCAUGAUUACUAAUAUCAAUAUUAUAAUUAUUAUUUUAUUCUGAGUGCUUCCAUUUGAGAAUUUCAAGGGAAAAUGUAGUGAACUGGGAACAUAAUUAUUUCCACAUCUAAAGACUGUAAAAUUGUAGAGCUAGAAGAAAACCUAAAGGUCAUCUAAAUCACCCUGUUCCCUCUCCCAGUUUUAUAAAUGAAGAAACUGGCACUCAGCUAGGUGAAAUGACUUUAUAUAAGAAGGUUAUUAGAGUUCCAGUUCCAGUUUUGUUUUAAUGUUAGAUACUAAGUACAGAAUAAAAAGAAACAUUAAUAAUUCAUUAAUGAUGAAAUCCAGAAGUUAGAGAAGAAAAUUCUGGAUUUAGAGCCUUAGGUUCAAAUCCUAUAUUUGUCACUUGAUAUUUAUCAAGUGACCUUAGGAAUGUCACCUAACCUCUGUGCGUCUUUAUUUUGCUUAUCUGUAAAAUGAAGGGAUUGGCCUAAAUGAUCUGUAAGGUCCCUUUUGGCUCUGAUCUGUGAACUGGAAAAGAACUUAGAGAUCUUAAAGUCUGCCCCUCCUUCCCUUCAGUUUUCAGAUGAUGAAACUGAGGUCCAGAAAGAUUAAGGUACAUGCCAGAAGAUAGAGAGGUAGCACCUAGCAAAAUGAGAUUCAAAAUGAGGUCUUCGGAUUUCAACUCAUGUUUUACCAUACUCCACUGUUUCGUUUCCAAAAGCCAUGUCCUCUCUCAUUGUCAAAAGGAACCAAGGAUUGUUCAUUAUUUACUUGUUUCAGUUGUGUAUAAUUCUUCAUGAACCCAUUUGGGGUUUUCUUGGCAAAAUUAUUGGAGUGAUUUACCAUUUCCUUCUCCAUGUUAUUUUACAGAUGAGGAAACUGAGGGAAACAGGGUUAAAUGACCUGCUUAUGGUAACACAUCUAGUUUGUGGCUGAGUCUGGAUUUGAACUCAGGAAGAUAAGUCUUCUUGAUUCCUGACCCAGCAGUACGCAUUCCACUAUGCCACCUAAUUGCCCUCAGUUGAAUGAACAUCAAAUUUGGCAUAGUGAUACAUUUACUGUAAUUUUAUUCAAUAAAAAUCUAUGCAUCAAAUCAAAUUUGAUAUGCUUCCCUCGUUCCCCACAACGACCCAUGUAACUACUCAUUUUAACCAUUUCAUAUGUAUAUGCUGUGAGAAGUAUUUCUUUCCCAUGUGAAGACUGCAGAAAAUGAGGCUAGCUUGUUUAGAGGGAUUUCAGCUCAACAAAUAUAUAGUAAAUAUAUACUCUGUGCUAAGCCCUGUGGGGAGUGCAAAAGAAGUUUAAGACAUGGUCUUUGCCCUCAAGGAGCUCAGAGGAAAUAGGACAUGUACUCCAGCUGCUGUUCAGCAGUUGUACGAGUUCCAGGAUGAUUGUAUAAAAAUUGGGAAUGCAAUAAUAAAUUCUAUGUUUACAGAAUGGAAAAAUUAGUGUGAUUUGGUUUAUUUCCAAAAGGGAGAGAAUAAUCGAUCUAAUAUCAGCUUUUUGCCGGUGUCCCCAUGAUGUCAUAGGAACUCAAGGAAUGCCCCCACCCACAACCCAAAGCAAACUUAUGGGAGGAUGUGGAUGGGCAGGCAUGUGUAGGUUACACUCUGCAUUACCAGAGGGUCUGGUAGAUCACAGGGUGGCUGAAAUUAAUGAAUGGAUAGGAUGUGAGGGGUGACCUGGCAGCUGCUAGAGAGAGUGGGCUAAUAAAAUAUGCACUCACUUAACCAACCAAGAUUCAAAUGCUGUCUUCUCUAUUAAGAAUCUGAUAGACCCAUCCUUUAUAGUUUGAUCCACUUUGGCAGUAGUUCACGUACUUAUUUCUACAGAUUUUCAAAAUAGAACUGUGUUGGCUGGGUUCAGUAACAUCUGCUUUGGAAGAUUACUUCAACUAUUGGCAGCAUCCAAGCUGUGCUUCAAAAAGAUCUUUGGGGCUGGGGUAUAUCCUUCAUCAUAUUACUAUAUUUACUUGCCUUCUAAUCCCUCUCCAGUGUUUUACACUGUAAGACAAUGUCUCAACAAGGUCUCUUUUGUAGUUUUUCCUGUUUUUCGGUGUCACAUUGCAGCUAGUCAAUGGCCCAUUUCUGUUGAGUUCAAGAAGCAAUUACUGCUUUUUUUUUUCCUUCUGAGAAAGAGGAGUGGUUAGAGUAAGAAAUUAUCUACAUUCUGAUAAUGUCUUUGCUUUGCUGAACAUUUCAUGAAUCUUUCAUUCCUGAAGUCAUCCAGAACUCGAGUUUUCCCUUCAUUUGACAAAAAACUUGGGGACAGAUACAGUAGGAUUAUGAGUGAUUUCAGAACUAGAAACAUCAGUAGAUAAUCCCUACCCAAUUUGACUAUAAGAUUACAACUGAAAAACAUCUGUACCAGGAUUCAGUGUUGCCACAGAAUGAGGGAGCUGACAUGUGAUUAAAAAAAAAAAACAAUAAGAUGACUGGAGAUUUGUGCUUAUACAAUCUAUGCUGUACUUUCAUUUGUGUACUCUUUUAUUCUCUGUGGUUUUAAUAUCAAUUUGGAGACAGUUGCCUUGUCUUUCUUUUUUUUGAAUUAAUGUUGUCUGUCUUAGCUUAUAAAAUUUGAGAGGGUAGAUAGACAUUGUUUCUAAUUCACCCCACAUAUUUCUUAGAAUUAUUGAUGAAUUAAGAUCCCCUGAGGCCCUAGUGCUCUGAAGCUUUUGGGGAGGAGGUGCCUCAUGAUUUGAAACAUUUUAAUAAAACAACCAACUAUGAUAUCAUGCUGAAAAGAAUUUUUAAAACAUUACAAUGUUAUUUAAUGGAAAACAGACUUAUUGAUCAAUUUCAUGUAUGUAAUUUUUUGUUUUGUUUUGUUUUUUAUAUAUAAUCUAUAUUUUAGAACUCUUAAGUUACUGGAAAUAUCUCAUGAGAGACAAAAAUAUGAGGCCUUGAUAUAUGCAUUUCUCUAACAUUUUCUACUCAUCUCACAUCUUAAGAACAUUUCCAGUGGUCCAUAAGGAGCAGGGAUCCGAAAGUUCCACAGUGGUUACUUUUCAGAAAUCAAACCUCCAGAUCAGUUAGUGGCUUUGAGAAGAUGCUAGUGGAAGGAGCUGCUGCUCUAGACCCCAGGCUUCCAUUCUUUUAAAGGGUAAAUUCCAAGCCCAAGAGGGGAGAGAUCCAAGGUACCUAUGUUGCUCCAUUAACCUUAGAGAUCUUAGCACAUAUCUAAUGUUUGUAAAAAUUAGGACCCUUUUCACCUAGAUGUUUAAACAUUUAAUAAAGUUUUGCAGGACUGAUUUUAGAUAGCUUUUCAAAUACCUAAAAAAAAAAGUGGACAAUGCCAUUCCUUUCAAGACUCAGCCCAAAGUCCACCUUCUGCCAGUGACUUUUUCCAUUUCUCGCCCAACCAAUCCAGUGCUAUUGCUUCUCCUUUCAGAUUACCUUCCAUAUACUCUGGAUGUUUUUUAUAUACCAAGUUAUUUACAUGUUGUAUUCUAUUAGACUGUAUGCUCCUUGAUGGGGGGGGGAGGGGGAAGAGGGACUCUUUUUGCCAUUCUUUUAAUCUCCAGCACAUAGUUAAUAAUAAAUGUUUGUGGACUGACUAUUGGUUGACCAAGGUGCCACCUCCUACAUGAAGUUUUUUUCUAAUUCCCUAGUUGCUGGCACUCUCUUGGAGUGCUAAGCUCCCAUAGGGCAACUGUUGUUUUUCAUUUUCUUUUUUAGAUACCUAGACCCUUCAACACAAUAGGCAUAUUAAUGCUUGUUGAAUUGAAUUAUUUUCUUUACUUCUUUGUGAGCAUCUAGGACUUAAUAUAGUGACUUAAAAUAGAGGAGUUAAUUUCAUUUGUUUUGGUUAUUAAUGCAAGGAACUCCAUUCUUAUUAUGAGUUAUUUUUGUAGAAGGAAAGGCUGCCCAAUUCACACUCAUUCACAUUGCUGUGUCUCUAAGUACUAAGCUGUGCCAGACCAGACCAUUUUUUACAAGCUUUAACUGCUUAACUGUUCAUGUUUGUGUUCAUCUAGUGCCUAGUAGAAAGAAUUCUAUAUUGAUCAUUCUUAGAACAGAGGACCCACUCUUAUGUAAAUGCAUCCUGUCAUAUACUGCAAAAGUAUUUGAGUACAAAUACUUUUUCUUGUUAAUAUGUCAGCAAUAGAUUUUCAGUUUAUUUUACAAAGCUUCACUAAUCUGAGAAUCAUAGAAACCUCCAAUAGACAGAUAAAUGACUCAUAGAGUCCAAUCCCCUGCCUUCUGGCAGGACUACUGUUAAAGUCAUGCUCUGGAGAAGAGGUUUUAGGCAUGAAACUCAUUUCUUCUUCCUGUCCUACAGCUCUUAGUAAGAUAGGAUGAUAGGAUGUUGGCCUGCCUAAAUAAACCCCACUUCAAUAAACAGAGACAGCUUUGCCCAAGAGAGAGAAGGAACAGAAAUAUUUAAUGAAGAUUUUGAAAGCAUAUGGACUUUGAAGGAAAUUUAUAGCUCAGUAUAAAUAUUUAAAUCCAUCCAAAACUGCUUCUAUAAAUUGAGGAUAUAAUUCGUGGUAGUAACCCUAAAGACACAGACACAAAUAAAUAGGUUAAAAUUAGAUUCUCUCUCUCCUAGGAUGAGUUACAUAUAUACCUAAAGUCACACAUUAAUCACAUAGCUAUUAAACGAGUGGUCCAGGAUUAGAACACAUGUUCUAUAGCUCCAAAUCACUAAAUCCAUUUCUUCUGUACCAUACUGCCUUUCUUAGAUUUCUAGAUUUUUGUGGACACGAGAUAAAUAUUGCAACGUGGGAACUAAUUCAGAUGUUUAAUUAUACAAAUGAUUUGGGUAGAAAAUGGGGUUUCUGUGUAAUAGACACAACAAAGGCCAUUGGUCUCUCUGUAAGGAGUUAUUCCAGGGGUGAAUAUAAAUAGGUAUAAUCUCCAGUUUACAAAUAUGAAAUGUUCUAAAGUUGCUUGUUGGGAAUCUGGGAAUCAUUUCCCCAUACAGACAGUGCUAUAAAUGAUAAUGUUACAAUAUUAGCUCAUAAAAAAGACUAGCAAAUUUUCAUAAUGUCUCUCAACUGUUACACUGAGAGAACUAGAAGACUUUUUUGUGUACUAGUUAUGUUUUCUUUUCUUAAGAAUGUGUGGUAUAACCAAGCAUGGUGGCAUGACUACAAUCCCAACUACUGGGAAAGCUGAACCUGGAGGAUCUCUCGAGCUUAGGAGUUCUGUGCUGUAGUGGGUCUUGAUGCUAAAAUGACAUCAAAAGGGUGAGCCCCUGAGUGUAAAAGACAAAUAGAUUGUCUAAGUGGGGACAAAAUGGCAUACAAGGUCAGAAACAGAACAAGUCAAACUCCUCAGGUCAAUCAGUUCAGUGGUAUAGUUAAAGGUUUUUCUUAACCUGGAUUAUUGUAUUUGUUAAAGGUUAAGAAUAACAGCCCCUUUUGUUUAUUCCCCUGUAUAAAACUUUAUAGGCAGUAACUAGGUGGCCCAGUAAAUAGUACCAAGCCUGGAGUCCAGAAGAUCUGAGUUCAUAUCCAGCCUCAGACAAUUUCCAGCUCUGUAACCUCUGAUUGCCUAUCAAAAAAGGAUCUCUUUGAAGAAGGAAAUAGCAAACCACUCCAGUAUCCUUGCCAAGAAACCCUCAUGGAUAGCUCUGGUCCUUGGGAUCACAAAGAGUCAGAAAUGACUGAACAAAAACAAAUAAACCAUAUAAGGUCCAUUAUAUUAGAGUCAUUUCCCACCAGUUUGCCAUCUUGGCAGAACUGGACCUCUCUUAGGUAGCUAAAUGGUUUAGUGGAUAAUGUGUCAGACAUUGAGUUAGGAAAACCUGAGUUCAAAUUCAGCCUCAGACACUUAUUGGCUCUGUGACUUUUGGUGAGUCAUUUAACCCCUGCUUACCUCAGUUUUCUAAUUUGUAAAACAGGGAAAAAAUAAUCCUUGCCUCCCAGAGUUCUUGCAAGACUCAAACAAGAUAAUAAUUGGAAAGAGACUGGAUCAAUAUGCAUAUAUUCUAUCUAUUACAAAUUUUUCUUGAAACAUUCUCCUUUCUCAUCUCUGUUUCUUAUAAUACUGAAUUUCCUGUAAGGCUCAACUAAGAGGCUCCUUGCUACAUAAAGCCUUUCCUGAUCUCCUAGUAGAUAUAAUUUUCUCCUCCUCACUAUACUCCCUCUUCAAUACUUUGCAUUUACUUUAUAUGAAUUCUCUGCAUUUACUUAGCUCUGUUCAUAUUGUAUCCCUGCAAGAGAAUGUAAUCUCCAUGAAGGCAAGAACUAUUUCUUUUUUUUGGCUGUAGUGCCAGCACUUUAAACAUAGGAAGUCCUUAAUAAAUGAUCUUUGAAUUAAAAUGAAUAUUUUGAUGCACCCAAAAGACAAAGUUUAAGGCUUCUGAAAUAAUAAGGGGGAAAGAUUGUUUUCUUCCUUGAUUGGGUAAGUGGUAUUGGUCCCUGGAGGCAGGAGAGAGAAAGACAUCCUCAAGAUAGUACCGACUUUGAGGCAGGUGUUCAGAAUGAAUCUUGGUCUAUUACAAAUAUGAACAGUGCUUUUCUAGGGAAAGUUACUGGGUCUCAACCAGAGAUGAGGACUAUUAAAAUGGAUCAGGGAGUUGUUUUAAAAGCUCUCUACUAUUACAAAAGGUAUAUGUUUUGUCUGAAAAAAGUCACUAAAAUUGCUAGAAGAUAAUUUUUUUAAGCAAACACUGCUUUUGAGCUCCAAGGGCUGACAGCUGUUCCAGUUUUGCUUGGGGACUUUUUCACAAUGUGGAUUAAUCAAUGUUAUGAACUGGGUCCGUGGGGUUUUGGGAAUGUAAUUGGUUUCAGAUGACACUUUGCUAGUCAAUCUGUGAAACAGCCGAAUGUUGACACAGCUGAACAAUUCCAGCUGUUUCCACUGGCCCCUUCCUCUCUCCCUGGACGCUACAUCCUUUCCCUUUAUUCUUGUCUGCCCUCUCUCAUUGUGACUUUGCUAAACUAAUUUGUUAUCUUUUUUAAUUUUCUUUUUUGCCUUUUUCUUCUCUGGGGAGGCACAGGUCCCUCUGUGCUGUGUUUCUUCCAGUGCGUUAUUUUGGAAGUUUUAUUUUUUCUCUUGCUAUUAAAGUCUUCUAAAUGAAUAAUGCUUUUAUACUCCUUUUUGUUCUUGGCAAUUACCUAGUUUGUUUGUUUAAGGAUAUGCAGCAACAAAUUUGGGUCUUAAACAACUGCUUGGAAUCAGUGACUAUUCAGUGUUCAAGAUGGAUGAUUAACCUUUUUUGAAAAUACUGAAGUUGUACUAAGGCAAGAUUGGAAUAGACAGUACAUGCUAUUAGCUUCAUUCAACACUUGUUUGUUUUAGAUGUACUAGUCAAUGCAUUACUCUGAAAUGGAAGUAGGGAUUUAGGUGUCAGUAUUACUGUUUAGAGAGCCAUAUGAAAAGGGGUUUGGGGAUAAAGCAAACUACAGUCAAUGAGUUAUGUUCAGUAUAUUGAGUUUAUGUUCUGUCCCAGGAAUGAAGCCUAAAUUGCUUUCAGUGAUUUUUUUCUUUAUCAGAGAUUAAUUUCUUUUUGUGUUUUAAGAAUACUCAUUUUACCAGCACAUUGAACCAAUGCAAGAAUCAUUUCAACACUUUCAAGUGCUGUGGCUGUUGCUCUUUUUAUGACAGAAUUACAGACUGUCAGAGUUAGAAGGGAUCUCAGAUACUUACUUGUCCAUGAUCCCCUUUGCAACAGAUCUGACAAAUGGCCAUGUCAGUCCACCAAUCAACUAAUAUUUCUUCCUUGCCCAUCAUGUGACAGUCUGAAGACUUGCCAUGUGCUGGAAGCUUAUUGUCAUCCGAAACACCCCAUAUUAUUUUGUAGUAGCAAUAGUUGUUAAGAAGAUUUUCCUUUCAUCUAGCCUAAAUUUGCUCUUUUGAAAUUUUUACUCUGAACUCUUUUGAAAUUUUUACUCUGAACAGAAUUCCUGUGUUCCAUAUCCUGGACCUUCAAAUACUUAAAAACAGCUGUUGUGUAUACCCUAUUUCUUCCCUUUUCAAGGUUAAACAAAGCAGAGAGAAAGACUGGGCAAAUGUGAGACCAUCCCACAAGCUAAUUCUCUGUCAGGCAAAGCUAUCCCAUCCUUCUCAGAUUGGUCAUUAGAUUGUGAGCUCCUUGAGGUCAAGGACUAUCUUUUGUCUUCUAUUGUAUCUCCUGUACUUAGCACAGUGCCUAGCACAUAGUAGGCACUUAAUAAAUGCUACUCUGAUUGACUGUGUCUUUAUUGACUUGUGAUUAGCUUCAACCUUGCUGGAUGAUUACCCCAUCCUCUUCUUUAUUGUCAAAGAUGCAGACACUCCCAAGGCAAUCUAAACUACUGAUACCGGAUCUAUAUAGGCAAAGUAAAGGAGUCAGUUGAGCAAAUAUUUGGAAACUUUGAGCAGUGUACACAACUAGUGUGGUAGAUUUAAUAUUAGAGGGAGGAAAGAAGAAAGGGAGGGAAGGAAGGUAGAAAGGAGGUAAGGAGGAGAAAGAAGGAAGGAACAGGAAAGUAUUAAAUAUUAAAUAUUUACUAUGUGCCAGUCACCAUGCUAAACAUUAAGAUUCUAAGGAGAGAAGACAACACAUAAAAGAGAGGGGAAGAAGGUAGUUGGAUGUUCAAGGGCAAGGAGAUUCCCAGGUACUGAGAGAAGAGUCAGAAAGAGAAGCAUAAUUUUGGGAAGUUUGAUGGUCAGGAACAGAUACAGAGACACAGGAGGGGAAUGAAGGUUAGGUUGGGUCACUCCACAAAAUGGAGACUUGGAGAGGAAUUCACUAGUAGGGAAUGAGGAUGGACCUUUUAGAGGCAAUGUUUCUAAGUUGAGAAAGUCACAUGAAUGGUUAGAUAUUCCAGAGGGAGGAGGCCUUAGGUUCUAAGGUUCCAUGAUGAGAAAGUUUAAUUUGGAAGUCUGGGAGCCAGGGACAUGGCCAGGAGGGGAAUGCAAUAUUUCCCAAGAAAAAAACCAAAUCAUAAAAAAAUUUGUUAUGGAAAUCAAAAGGGUAUGGCAAUUCACUGUGUGGAAAAGUAUGAACAAUGGAACCUUACAAGAAUUGAUGUUGAGACUUGUUCAAUUUAACAUGUCCAUAAAGCAUUUAGAAUGUACUCAGUGAAAUCUUCAAGUGUGCAUAUAUCACUACUUCUAGUUGACCUCUAAAGCCUUUCAAGGGAAUUAAUAGAUUUCUCUAUAUUUAAUAAUGUUUGAUUCAGAAACUCCCAGCAAGCAUUGAUGGGCACAAACUGUGGGGAGAUCUUUUGAGCCUCACCAAUUGGCAAACAACUGGUAGAUAAGCUUUACUGUAAGUGCCAGGGGAGAAAUAAAUCAAAUUCUGCUUAGGUGGGGCAUGAAGCUAUCAGUUUUAAUUUAGGAAUGAUAUCAUUGUGAUCUGUGGUUCUCUGAUGACAGUGACCCAGUGUGCUGCUAUGAACAAAGAACCAAGAAAAUGCUAGGCAUAAUUGGAAAGGGUAUUGGAAACAAAACCAAAACAUUAUCCUAUCCUUAUAGAAACAACAAUGAUAAAAUAGCUAACAAUGUAAACUAGGGUUUGCAGAGUACUUUGCAAACUGUAACCACUAAAUGUUAAACUAAACUACUGCAGAACAUGAGACUUAUACUCUCUUCACCCUCCCUUCCUAACCAGAAGGGGUGGGAUCAAAAUCCCCACUUGUCGUUCAGUUAUUUUCAGUUGUAUCCAAUUCUUUGUGACCUACAUUUGGGAUUUUAUUGGCAAAGGUACUGGAGUGGUUUGCCAUGUAUUUCUACAGCUCAUUUUACAUAUGAGGAAACUGAGGCAAACAGGAUUAAGUGACUUGCUGAGGGCCAUACAGCUGAUAAGUAUCUAAAGCCAGAUUUGAACUCUGGAAGAUAUCUUCCUGAUUUCUCAAUCCUAACUCUAUCCACAGUGCCGCCUGGCUGCUCCCCAAAUCCUCAUAGACCUCUCCUAUUUCUUCCUAGUAGGCCUGCAGAGAGGCAAGGUUUAUACCUCUAGUCCUUCCUAGCUCUCCUUUCCCUUAUUCCUGGUCUUUAUUGGCAUUUUGAGACCCAAAAUAGAAAAGGAGGCUUUACUAAAGCCAGUGUUCACCAUCAGUACUUAUAAUAGCAACUUGUUCUCAAAGAAAUCCAAGUGAAUUACAAGUUCAAGUUUUCUAGUUCUACUUGUUGAAUCAGUUUUAGAAUAAUUCAUAAGGGAAAGUUCAGGAGGAGAGCCCCUCUAGGUGCAAGGGGAAGUUUUAGGAAGUACACUCCAGAGAUAAAGAAAACCCCUCAGGGCCAUCUUCUAUGGUACAGUCUGAUAGCAAGUAAUGAAGUGAAAAAAGUCCAGGCAAUGGACUUGGUUCUGCUCCUUUCACUCUACAUCAGCUCCUGGAGGUUGUUCCAGUUCACAUGGAAUUCCUCCAGUUCAUUAUUCCUUUCAGCACAAUCAGUAUUCCAUCAUCAACAGAUACCACAAUUUGUUCAGCCAUUCCCCAAUUGAAGGGCAUCCCCUCAUUUUCCAAAUUUGCCUUCACAAAAAAAUGUGGGUAUAAAUAUUUUUGUACAUCUUUUUCCUUAUUAUCUCUUUGGAGUACAAACCCAGCAGUGGUAUGGUUGGGUCAAAGGGCAGGCAGUCAUUUAAAGCCCUUUGGGCAUAGUUCCAAAUUGCCUUCCAGAAUGGUUUAUCAAUUCAUAACUCCACCAACAAUGCAAUAGUGUCCCAAUUUUGCCACAUCCCCUACACCAUUUAUUACUUUCCUUUGCUGUCAUAUUAGUCAAUCUGUUAAGUGUGAGGUGGUAUGUUAGAGUUGUUUUGAUUUGCAUUUCUCUAAUUAUAAGAGAUUUAGAACAUUUUUUCAUGUGCUUAUUGAUGGUUCUGAUUUCUUUAUCUGAAAACUGCCUAUUCUUGUCCCUUGCCUAUUUAUCAAUUGGGGAAUAGUUUGAUUUUUUUGUACAAUUGAUUUAGUUCCUUAUAUAUUUGAGAAAUUAGACCUUUGCCAGAGGUUUUUGUUAAAUUUUUCCCCAAUUUGUUGCUUCCCUUCUGAUUUUGGAUACAUUUGGUUUAGUUUGUACAAAACCUUUUUAAAUUAAUGUAAUCAAAAUUUCUUUUGUUACUGUUGCUACUCGCACCAGUGCACAAAACUUCUAGGUGCAUUGUGCCCUGUAUAUCUUCCUGCUACUUCUCUUUCAUUGCUACCUUUCAACCAUUACUCUCUCCUACUCCUGCUGCCUCUCUUUGGCAGGGCUCUUUCCCAUUCCCAGUGUUUCCACAUCCUCAGUCCCAUACGGCUUCAAAGAGCUGCCCACCACCCAGGCCCACAUUCUCUGGAAUUAAAUGUGGCAUAAUAUUUUUGCUUAUGCAGCAAACUACAUCUUCCAGGGACUAUAUGAUUAGUUUCUGGACUCUAUCAGUGAGUCUCUUCAUUCUGAUUAAGGAGGAAAAAUCAGUCUGGUGAUGUAAAAAAGAACUAGAAAAGAGGCUACAGUCUAUUAUUUCAUUUGGUCUUCGUAACAAAACUCAUCUGUAACACGGGAAACUGGGGUUAAGUUACUUGGCCAUGAUCAUAUACCUAAAAAUUGUCAGAGGUGGGAUUUGAACUCUUUUUUUUCCCUGACUUCAAGAUCACUAUUCUUUAUAAUACCUCAAUGAGCCAUCUGCAUCUGUAAUACUGUAUACAGUUCUGUUUACUGCAUGUAAAGAAAACCAUAAUGUUACUUGCAGGCUUACAUAAAGACAACAAAAAUGAUCAAGAGGCUGGUGCGGUAACCCUAUUGAGGGCAAAUCAAAACAAUUAGAGCUUUUCAAUCUGGAAAGAUGAAGGAUGAAAGAAGCUGGGAUCAAAAUCUAUGAAAGCACAAAGGGUAUGGAUAGGGUGAACCUGGACUUGUUCACCAAAUCCUGGAAUACUAGAACUAGGGACUUUUUAAAGUUUGAAAGAGGUAUAUUUAGUACAAGUAAAAGGAAGUAGGACAUUACACAGUGGGAAAUAAACUUAGGAAACUGUCUACCCCCAAGAGAUGGUGCUAGCUAAAAAUUAAAAUAAGUUUAAGGGUUUAGAUAAAUGAAUGGAUGUUAUAUCUGUAAUGGCUUAUUAAAAGAAAGUAAGGAUGACUAGGGGAAGGAGACAUCAUUAACCACUUAUGGUAACAAAAAUUCUUCUCUCAAUCAUCCCUUGGUGCCGCUGUCAAAGACUUAAUAGGGAACUCAAUUCAACCACCAACUACAUUCAUGACACUGUGCUAGAGCUUGGGGAUACAGAGACAAAAAUGAAACCAUCUCUGCCCUUCAGAGUUGACAUUUUCUUAAAGAGACACAAGUAUAUAGAUAGGUAACUACAAACUACUAAUUUGAGGAGGGAAAAAUACUACUAGCUGGAAAGGAGGACUAGCAAGUAUUCUUAUAAAUUACAAAUGGGCUGAACAUUUCAAGAAACUAGAACUUCUAAGAGGGAGGUAAUGAAAGAAUACAUUCCAGUCCUGUUAGGGGCCAGAGGUGGAGGUGGGAUUGAUUCCCUCCUCAGACCCUUACUUGUGGGGCCCUGAGCCCCGCAUCAGUUUCUGCAUCAGUUUUCUCAUCUGUAAAAUAAAGGAAUUAGAUUCUGUCAUCUCUCAAGUCUCUUCUAGGGAAGAAAUAUGAAAAAAAUGAAUAGACAGAUAAGAGUAGAACCAAGAGAGCGAAAAAAAAAACCAAAAACCCAACAGUAUUAUGGUCCAACCAUACUGGACUCCUUGUUAUUCCUCAAAUGUCAACCCAUCCCCUGUCUUCAUGUUAGACCUUGGGGGGUUGUUUGUCAUCCAUGACUAAAAUGUUCUCCCUCCUACCUUCUAGAACCUUGGAUUUUUUAUUAGACUCAGCUCAAAUGUCAUCCUGAUCUCCCCAUCUCUAAGUGCCUUCUCUAAGAUUACUUUACAUCUAUCCUGUACAUACUUUAUAUGCACAUACAUAUGUAUAUAUGUUUCUCCCCCAUUGGAAUGUAAGCUCUUUGAAGGUAAGAAUUAUUUUUGCUUUUGCUUUUUUUCUUGAAUUGUUCAAUGCUUAGCUCAGUACCUGACAUAUUAGGGGGCACUUGAAUGCUUGUUGACUGAUUAUAGAAAGAAUCCAGGAGUGGUAGAGUAGGGAGGUGAAUUACAGUGUCAAAAAGAGGUCAAGAAGGAUGGGGACUGAUGAAAGACCAUCAGAUUUAGCAGUUAAGAGAUCAUCCGUAACCCUGGAGACAGCACUUUCAGUUGAGUGUUGGGUCAAAAGUUAGAUUGAGAAAGGGUUGAGUUCUCAAAAGGGCUGAAAAAAUGAGUGGGAAGUGAAAAAGUGGAGUUUGAGAGAGAAGAUGAAUUUUUUUUAGGAAUUUGUCUGUGAAAGGAAGAAGAGAUUUAAGGUUAUAGCUUUAGGAGUAAAAUAAUCAAAAUGUAUCUGUGUAUGUGUAUGUGUAAAUGUGUGCAUGUGUGUGUGUUCAAAGUAUAAAAAGACCUAGAAACAUUUUAUUUAUUAUAUUAUUAUAUUACUCCCAUUUAUAUUUUACUUAAUAUGUUAAAUGUUUGCUGCUAGGAAAAACUAAGAAAUGACCUCUGUCCUCAUGGAACCCUCUGUCUAGGAAGGAAGAUAUGGUAUAUAUAUAUAUACAUGUGUACUAUUAGAUUAUAUAUAUAUAGAAUAGCUACAAGAGCAGAAUAGAAUACAGUAAGGGCACUCAAAGGCAUAGAGUCCUGUACUGGGUCAGAGGGAAGAAAUUCUAUUUUUAUUUGGGAAGAAUUGGAAAAGACCGGGAAGAUUGUUUUGGACAAAUUGGCAUUUAACUGCUUCUUUAAGGCUGGGUAUUAUUUUAAAGGGCAGAUUUGUAGGAGGAGGGAGGACAUUCCAGGAACAGGGAGAGUCAUGAACAAAUUUGCAAUCAGAGGAGCCUUGGAUAAUGAUCAGGAUAAUGAAUGGUCUAGUUAGCAAGCUAGCACAUAUAGAGGAAAUGAUGUUGAGGAAUGUAUGGAGAUAUCAGUUUUUUAGAAUGUCUUAAAUGCUAAUUCAAAACGUUUGAAAUUGAUUCUAUUAGGAAGGAGGGAACCACUGAAGUAAUUUGAACAGAGGAAUGACAUUUAGAUCAAUUCAUGUAAAGAUCAACUUGGCUUCAUUAUGAAGGAGAGAUUAGAAAGGGAAGAUAUUAGAAACAAGGAGUUAGGAGAUUCUGGUAAUGAAAUAGAGGGUCACUAGGAUGUUGGCAAUGGGAAAAUAAUUAUAAAAGUGGAUAAUAAAGAGAUUACAAGGAUAGAAUCAACAGGUGUGGAUAAUUGAUUUUAUGUAGGAGAGAAGAGUCACUUAGCCUGGAUUGUGAACCUGAGGAAUAAUUGUAUCACUGAGAGGCAUAAUAACACGAACACAUUUUGGACACAUUAAGGCUAUUGGCUAGCAAAGAGGAGAUGAUUAUAUUAAGGCCAAGAAUCAUAUUUCCUACAUUCUUAUGAAACUUGGCAUGACUUGUGUAUGAGUAUAGAACUAAGAAAUCAUUAUAAGCCUAGACUUUGAAAUUCAAUCACACACUUAACUAGGUGUUUGUGCCCUUACCAUUCUUCCUCCUCUUUGUUUACUUCCUUCCCAUCUUCAUUUUCUUCCUUUUUCCUUCUGCCUAAUCCCCCCAAGUUGCAUGGUUCUACAAGGUCUUUGCUACUCAGCUGUCCACCAUCUGCCCCAGAAAUGGCUUCUGGUGAAGCUGUAAAAUGUCUUGAAUGCUGCCAAUUUCUUAGUGAAUCCUUAAAAUCUUUAAACAAGACCAUGUGUUUGUGGUCUUUAACUGCCACCAUGACCAGUCCAUACACAUAUGCUGCAAAGACCAAGACCAUUUAGGGCUUCCUAUGGUGCCUGUCGCCAUAAUAUCUUUUACCCUGAAAUAGUUAAACACUGUUAUUGGUGGGUAGAAAUGUACUCUCAGGUUGUAUUUUUAGUUUAGAUGAUUGCUGAGUAAACGCCUUCAGGUGGGCUAUGAAUCCUAUAAACAGAUGAGAAAUCCCUGCAGCUAAAAACACAGAGUUAGUAAAAAUGUAGAGGCAAGUAACAACAACAAGAAUAAAAAGCCCCAAACAUUUCUUUCCAUGACAACCAAAUAAGACAGGAGGAAUUCACCUCCACUGGAUUUCCACUGAAAUACUCCUUAAGCAAAGUGGAAAAGCACCUUAAAGAGGGUAAUGUGCAAGUAAUUGAAAGAAAUUACCUGUGUGUGUGUGUGUGUGUGUGUAUGUGUGUGUGUGUGUUCAGAGAGAAGCAGUUUGAUUGAAUUAAAUCUACUGGGAUUAUGCUCAGGCCCUGAUCUUAAAAGCAACUCAUAUACUAUCCAGAGGGAACUAGUUAUAUAUGUUGCCCAUUCAGAAUAAUUCUUCAGUGGGUUCAAAUCUGGCCUCAGACCUUUCCUAGCCAUGUGAUGACCCUGGGGAAGUCACUUAACCCCCAUUACCUAGUUUUUACAGCUCUUCAAUCAAUACACACUUAUUGAUUCUAAGAUGGAAGGUGAGGAUUAAAAAAAAAAACAACCAAUAGUCAGCAAUAGUACUGAGAACUGAAAUUAUUUUCCCAAGAUGAGGACAAUGAGUGCCCCUAGUAUUGUGAUUGUACUGUGUGGUAUAUUUACUUCAGCACUCUAGAUUUCCAAACCAUUCUGAAGCUCGCAUUGUAUUUCUGUGACAACUUGGUGUUCAAAUUCUUCAUACUUGAUGUUCCUGAAAAAAUAAGUAGUUUUUAUAAUUUUUAGAAGUUUGGAGUGGAAGUAGAGAAUAUAAAAAGGAAGAGGAGGUGAGAGUGCAGUUCUACAUUGUAUGAAAUACCUCAGAGCCAGAGGUAAUUCAGCUUCCCAGACACAGGGCAAUGCAAGCCUGUGGAGAAGGAUGAAUUUAUGAACAUCUAUCGGUCUCUCACAGCUCAGAGUGAAUGAAUAAAUGAAUGAAUGAAUAAAUGAAUGAAUGAAAAAUUCAUUUAUUAAGCACUUGCUAUGUGCCGGGCACCAUGCUGAACACUAGACUUGGACAAAAACAAAAAACAAAAAACAAGCAAGAUAGAUAAUCUUUUGACUCCAAAUCCAGGGCUGUUCCUAUUAAACCAUUCUGCUUUAGGAAAGGUAUAGAGAAGAUCAGCUUCAAUUAGUUUAUCCAGUUCUGGAAUACCAGAACUGUAUACCUCCUGAAAUUUGAAGGAGGCAUAUUUAAUGCAAAUAAAAGGAAGUAGGCCAUGACCCAGUGGGGGCAAACUUCAGGAAUUCACCACUCCCAAGAUAUGGUGCCAGUUGAAAAUUGAUAUAAAUUCAAGAUAUCAGAUAAAUUAAUGGAUGUUGCAUUCAUUUUUAUUAAAAGAAAAAAAUAUAUAUUUAUUUAAAAAACCAUCUAUCUCCUUUAAAAUGCCCUUUAAAAUAAACAAAAGUGGGUGGUUAGGUAGCAGAGUGGACAGAGUCUCAGGCCUGAAAUCAGGAGGACCUGGGUUCUGAUCUGGCCUUAGAUACCAUUUCCUAGCUGUGUGUCCCUGGGCAAGUCAUUUAAGCCCAAUUAAUUAGCCCUUGCUGCUUUUCCUCUUAGAAGUGUUAUUAAAAAAGAAGGUAGGAGUUUUUUAAAAAAGAAAGCAAAAAAUAUUUAUGAGUUGAAAUAUUUUAGAACACAACAGUUCUUUUCCUAAUAAUGAAUUCCCCCAGAAAGUAUUAGGACAGAAAGAAACUAAGAAGUCAUCAAGUCCAGUUUCCUUAUUUUACAGAUAAGAAAAUUGAGGUUAAGGAAUUGUCUUCUGCAGAGUCAUAAAGGUAAUUAGUGCAUAAGGCAGAAUUUGAACUCUAGCUUUCCUGACUCCAAGAUCAUUGUUCUUUCCACUAUACUAUAUUGAUUCAGUGACCCUAUAGCCACUGCUUGAGGUUAAAGGGAAAUCAUUCAGCCUAUAACAUUAUGGGCAUCGCUAAAUGGUGUUUCUUCCUCAUAUUGAAUUGAAAAAUGUUAUAGCUAUAUGCAACAAUUUUUAAAAAGAUAUUUUAUUUUCCCAAUUACAUAUAAUAUUAAUUUUCAACAUUUGUCUUCUAAAAUUAUAAAAUUGAAUUGUCUCCCUCUCUCCUUUCUGUCUCUUCUCCUAGAGAAGAUAAGCAAUUUGAUCUGCAUUGUAUGUGUAUUAUCAUGCAAAAAUCUACUUCCAUACUGGUCAUUGUUGUAAGAGAAUACUCAUAUAAAACCAAAACCCAAAAUAAAAACAUAACUAAAAUAAUGUGAAAAAUUGCAUGCUUUGAGCUGCAUUCUGACUCCAGCAGUUCUUUCUCUGGAGGUGGAUAGCAUUCUUUGUCAUAAGUCCUUUAGAUUUUAUAUGGAACAAUUCUAAUCCCUUUACCAGAUGACAGUUUAAAAAAUAUUUGAAGACAACCAUCACGUCCUCCAUGAAGCUUCUUUUUUCCAUGCAAGAUGUGUUCAGUUCCUUCUACUAUUCUUCAUAUGGCAUGGUUUUAAGCCCACAUAUCUUCAUGUUCUGGAUGCAUGCCAGGUUGUUAGUGACCUCUUAAAAUAUGAGUCCUAGAGUUGAGCAUAAUACUUCAGAUAUGGCCUGGAUUUAGAGCCUAGGUUUCUUGAGUUUUAGGUAAAUGAUCUUUCCAUUCUACCUCACUUGUCUUUAUUUUGGGGUAUUUUAAUGCUGUCCAGUUUUUCUUUCUAGUCUAAAGAAAAAUGGCUUCCCCACAUGCAUUGGAGCUAGUAAAUUAGAAUUGUCUGUCAUUUUAAAGCUCAGAAGGCAUUUUUUAGAAUUUAGAAUUUAGAAAUUUUCUAAAGUGAAAAAUUACAGAGCAGGUAGAAAUCAUGGGUCCAAAAAGUUCUCUUUGCUUUACUAUCUUUCUUUUUUAAAAUCUAUGUUUAUUGUUAAAUUAAAAUUCCCCAGUAUCUCCUACCUCCCUUUUCUCUUUGUAUUGGAGAAAGCAUCAUUUAACAAAAAGAUAAUAUGUGUAUAUAAAACUCUAUCUUGCUAUGUUUCUCUUAUAUUAGUUCUUUCUCUGGAGGUAUACAUAAACAAGUUAUUCUUCAAACAAUAUGCCUAUUGCUGUAUAUAAUGUUUUCCUGAUUCUACUCAUUUCACUUUUGUUUAGGUCUUUUUGCAAAUUUGAAUUAACUUACACAUUUUUUCUUAUACCACAGUAGCAUUCCAUCACAAUCAACUUGUUCAGCUAUUCCCCAGUUGAUGGACAUCCUGUCAAUUUCCAAUUCUUUAAAUUUUUCAUAUAUACAAUGUAAAAUUUAUAAAUGUUUAGAACACAUUGGUUCUUUUUCUAUUUCCACUGAUCACCUCAGGAAAUAAACUUUAUAGUAGUAUUGCCGGGUUAAAAAACAUACAUAGUUUUAUAACUCUUUGGGCAUAAUUCCAGAUUGCUCUUCAAAAUGAUUAUGUCAGUUCACAGGUCCAAAAACAGUGUAUUAGUACCCCCUACGACAUUUGUCAUUUUGCCCUUUUAUCAUUUUAGCCAAUUUGAUAGGUGUGAGAUGAUAUCUUGGAGUUGUUUUGAUUUGUAUUUCUCUAAUCAAUUAUGAUCUAGAGCAUUUUUUCACAUAGUUAUAUAUAGUUUUGAUGUCUUUACCGGAAAACUGUCUGUUCAUAUCUUUUGACCAUUUAUCAUUCGAGGAAUGGCUCAUAUUCUUAUAAACUUGACAAAUUUUUCUUUAUAUUUUAUAUAUGAGAUCUUUAUCCAAGAAACUGUCUAUAAAAUUCCCCCAUCCCUAAUUUUCUGCAUGCCUUCUAAUCUUGACUUUUUAGUUUUAUAUUCUUUAGGAUGAACAUUUUCUUUUGUUCCCUUCUUUAUCUCCUUGUCUUCCUCUAUUAUAUUCCCUCCCUUAUUUUAUUGUCUGGUCCUUUUUUUUUAAAUUAAUCUAUGUAUAUAUACAUCCUUUUAAAAGACCCUCUCUUUUCUUUAUCCCUCACCCACAUAUCUUCUCAUGAAUUAAGAACAUUUUACAUAUAUAAAUUUCCUGUCUUACUAGAUCUAAUAUUAAAAAAUCUGAUCAUGCUUCUUUCAUUCUUGAUGCAUAUGAAAAGUGAGGAAGAAAAGGAACAUUUAUUAGGCUCCUACUAAAUACCAACAGGCAUUGUAUUAAAGACUUCACAAAUAUUAACUCACUUGAUAACUAAGAGACUAUAAUAUAAUCCUUGAUUUAAUAUAUAAUUUUAUUUUAUCUACUAAAUUUUCUAUUAAUAUGAAAUAAUAAUAUAAAUAGCAUAAAAUGAUUGACUAAAUUUAAUAAUUUAAGAUGUAAUGUUUUCUGGCAUGUUUUGUAUGGGAGACACUCACCUAGAUUACUUUCUAAAAUAAGUUAAUCAUAGAAACUUGCUGAAAUAUUCUCUUCCAUGGUGGAGAGAGCACUUUAAUGGAAGUAAACCUGGCUUGUGUUUCUGCCUCUGUCACUGACUAGCUGUUUGAACUUGGAUGCGUCCAUCUUUUUGAGUUUUAGUUUCUUCAUGUAUAAAAUGAAAGAGUCUAAAUGAAUAUUCUCCCAAACCCCAGUCCCUGUGCAUAUAUUUUUUUAAAAAAUAGGAAAUAAAUACAAGGAGUGGUGAAGGAGGAAAAAUAUUUCUGAUAUUUGAACAUCAUGGGAUCAAAGGCAUAUCAAAAAAUCAGGAGCCAUCCAGUAUAACUCCCACCUUUAAUAAUGAGACAACUGAGAGACCCAGGGAAGUUAAGUAACUACUUACCUAAGAUCACAUAAGGUGAUCUUUUAUUACCUUAAUUUUAUUACUAUAACAAACACUUGUGAAUAUUGAUAACUAGAUAAGGAUGGGAGUAGCUAGGUGGCUCAGUGGAUUGUGGUGGUAGGUCCUGGAUUCAAAUAUGACCCCAGAAACUAUUUUGCUGUGCAACCUAUGACAAGUCACUUAACCUCCAUUGACUAGCCCUUAACAUUCUUUUGCCUUGGAACCAAUACAGAGUACUGAUUCUAAGAUAGAAAGGGAAAGUUUUAAAAAUUGAAUUAAAAAAAACCCAAUUAGACAAAGACUCAAUGAACAGUUUUAGGAUAUGAGAAAUUAAGUGCAGUGUUCAAAUAAUGUUUUUUUUAUUUUUUAAAUUAUGGUUUUAUGACAAUGAAUCAAUGAUUUUAUCCAUGGACUUUUAUUCUCAUGGAUUUUAUUCUCAUGGACUAUGCAGUUAUUUUCCCAUCUUGUGUGACUCUUAAAGUCCUCCCUUAAUUUGAGAAGAAGAGAGCCACUUAUCAUUUUAUUAACAUCAAUAUUUAAAAAUACUAUGAAUCAAAGGAAAAAUAUUUAUUUGGACAAAGAAAUUAUCAGCACCCACCUCCUCCCUUUAAUGUCUUUAAAAAAAGAUACUAAUAGGCUGAAAUAUGUUUACAGUUUGUUUUAUCCCUAUUGUCAUGCCUUAAUCAUUCCCUGUAAGCUGUAUUUCCAUGACAGGAUUUUUUCAGGUACACUGCUCAUAAAGAACAAAAAGGGAAACGUUUAUAUUGUGCCUGCAUUUAUUAUUGGGAGUCAAAGGCACCGUUUUAAAGUAAUGGAUGUAAUUCCAUGAACCCUCUGUAGGGGGAGUCAAUCGCAUCCAAAUUAGGCUGUGUGACCGUCCUCGAUUCUCAGUUAAUGUCCUGGGGGAAGGCAGUAUCUGUGCCUGGGACGCUGUUGCCUCUCUGUGUAUCAGUGCCUACAUGUGGGUGAACAAGUGCUAUGCCUUCCCGCUCUUCACAUCUCAUAUUAAAAACUGUCCAUUGUCCUCUAUGUCCGUUCCUUGUAAUGUACUUAUCUUGUAUAAUGUAAUCAUUUCCCUAUUAUCAUAAUGAAUUAAGAUUUCGGGAUACAAUCAUGGGGAACCUUUCCCAUGUUCAGAGAAAUGUUCUACUCUGCCACACGCCUCAUCAAACAUUUGUAUCAAUUCGUGAGACACAUGCACUUGAAUGGCGAUAGUGAACGCAGAGAGAUCCAUGUCCAUGUCAGCGGAGGAGACUGGAUUUGCAUAAAUGAUGCUUGUGAAUAGGCUCUUGGUUCCCACAUUCAUCUAUGCCUUUCUGUUCAGCUGGCAAAGAGCCAUUUGUAAUAUCUACCAUCAACACCUUCUUUUUACAUUUUAUUGAUUUGAUUUGAUUUUUGUUGUCAUGUCUUUGGUCCAGUCACCAUGCAUGUACACCGUAAGACCAAGCCAAUAGAGAAACACUGUUUGAAUGUAGAAUGUGUAGAAUGUAGAAAGUGGCUCUGUAUGAUUUGAAGUAGGAAUCAUGGAAGAGGUACCCAACUCAUCACAGGGAACUUACCUAAUUGGAGGAAACAGUGGGUGCAUUUGCUAUUCUGUGAUGCAACCACAUUGAUCCCUUUUGUCCCAAUUUAGAACAGGCAAGGUUCAAAUUGGCACAGAGUGGGUAAAGAGGAGGAAGAAAGCACUUAUAAACACUUACUAUGUGCAAAGGUCUAUAUUGGUCACUUAACAGAUAAAUUUUGUUUAAUCCUCACAACACCCUACAAGAUAGAUGCAAUUAUUAUCCCUGUCUUGCUUUUAAGGAACAUGAGGCAGAGGUUAUGUGAGUUAGAUGCCUGGGGUCUCACAGCUAGUAAGUGCCUGUGAGCAGAUUUGAACUCAAAUCUUCUUGACACCAAGUCCAGAACUCUAUCUGCUGUGUCAUUUAGGUACCUAGGAGGUGGCCAAUUCUUUCAAAAUAGCAGUCUGAUCUGAAGUGGCUCUAGAACAGUGAAGCUUGCAUGGUUUAAUACAACAGAGAGAGCUGGCACCUUUAAGCUUUUAUAAAUGCUUUAAUAAUCCAAGGGAAGAAAAUCCUGGCAAUUGGGGUACUUAGGCAUUACUGGGUCUUGAGUGCUGGGUCUGCAAUCAGGAAAACCUCAGUUCAAAUCUGGCCCCAAACACUUACUAGCUGUGCAACCCUGGAUAAGUCACUUAACCCUGUUUGCCUCAGUUUUUCAUCUGUAAAAUGAGCUGGCGAAGGAAAUGGCAAACCAGUCCAGUAUCUCUUGCCAAAAGAACUCCAGAUGGAGUCACCAAGAGUCAAACUUGACUGAACAACAGUAACAAAAAGAAAACACUUUUGAAUAUGCCAAGUAGAAGUUUUCUGGAUAAGGGUAUAUACAGAGGUUGGUAGAAUUGUUUUGGUUCUCCCUGAUCAUAUCUAUGUAUUUGUCAAUCCCCCUGGCUGUUUCUAACUGUUCCCUAUUCAAAUUGCUUUGGGUUCAUAGUUAAUAAAAUUGCCAGCUGUAUCAGUAUCUGUUGCUACCAUUGACAGAGUGUGAUCUUGAGAUGUCUUCAUUUUCUGUGUGACUUGCUACUCCUGGAGUUAGGGGACAAGCAGCAAAUGCAGUUGUAAUUUACCUUUGCCUUUAGUUUCCUUCCCCUUUUAAAAAAAAGAGUAUUUCUCACUGAUGCACUUUUAAUUUUUAUUUAAGUUAGUUUUUGGUGAUAUCGUUAAUUCCAUCUACUUUUGCUAGUGAGUCCCUCCCUUUUUUCCUUCCCUAAAACACAUCCUUUGUAACAAAGAGGAAAAAUUUCAGUAAAAGUAAUAAUCAUAGGGAAAAAUAAAUCUGACAUUAUCAAGAGUAUUUCACAACCAUAGUCCCCUACUACUGCAAAUAAGGGAAAGAGGUUCUGAAGUGGUCUUUCUAAGAGGCAAUUGUCAUCAUCAGGUUUGAUUUGGAUAAAUUGAGCAUCAUCCCCUCCAAAUGGCUCAUGUCCUUGGAAAUAGUGACCAAUUUCAGAAAAGGAGUUUAGCAGUUAAUCCCUUUUUGUCUUUUUGUGGGAUGUGAAUUCUGCCAGGAGACAUUACAUUUGGAGCUGGAAAGGUUCUUAGAGAUCAUCUAACAUAGCCCCCUCAUUUUAGUAAUAAAGAAAUUGAGGCCCAGAGAGGUUUAGUUGGUUACCAACUUCACACAGGAAAUCAGUAGCAGAGCUAGGAUUCAAACCUAGGUCUUUGCACUUUAAAUCCAGUGCUCCUUGCACUCCUAUAAUGCUGCCAGCCUGCCUUUGAAGCUAAUUUUCAGUAGCUAUGAGUUUCUCCACAACAAAAAUCAAAUGACUGGUUCAGGAGACUUUAAUGAAACCAUAGCUGACACAAAGAUGAUUUCUGUGUACAUACAUUCAGUCAUUAAGGAAAAAAAAAACUCUCCUUUGAGGUUCCCAAAAGUUGUGAUGCCCUUGGGUGCACGCAUGAAUAGUGGCUGUCUGUGGAUGUUAGAACAUGCCAAGUAGUUGAAUUUGAGGUAUUUGGUCUUUAACAGAAGAAUGCCACUUCACAAUUUACUUUGGAAAUCUAGGUGAAAUAUUCAAAUAUGAUGGCUCAACUUUAAGAGAACAAACUGAAACACUUAGUAAAUAAGUAAUUGUGUUGAGGCAACUAGGUAGCUUAGUAGAGAGAGUGCCAGGAUUGAGUUAGGAGGACUUGAGUUCAAAUCUAGCUUCAAAUACUUCCUAGUUGUGUGACCCUGGGCAAAUCACUUAACCCCAGUUGCCUAACACAACCUUUCUGCCUUGGAAUCAAUAUUUAAAACCUCUUCUAAAACAGAAAGUAAGUGUUGUUGUGUGUUUUUUUUUUAGUUGUGUUAGAUACCUUCGGAGAUUAAAGGAUAGUGUAAUAAAAUAUAAGACCCUGGAGGGCAAGAACUUUUUUUAUUUUUGUCUUGGGUCUAAAGCAACCAGUAGAAUUAAAGAUACAUUUGUUGAAUUGAAUAUGAGAGACUCUGUAUGUGAAGGGGCAGUACUGGGCAUUCUUCCUGGUACAUUGAACCAUUUUGUAAAUGCUUCCUGAUUUGACUUGGAGUUCAAAAUCAGUUGAAAAGCUAUUUUCUGUGUGGAAGCACCAUGUUUAAUAGUAAUGAACUCAAUAUAUAAUUAAAAUAAAGAGACUUCCUUAACUUAUAGUGAAAUGCCACCGAUCUAUUAAUCCUCUACCUUUGUCUACACCUUAUUGUUUUCUCUCAAAAUCACCCGUCUCCCUCCUACCUUGCCUGAUGACAGGGCAGGUAGAGAGUCCUAAGAAACCUAUUUUUUUAAUUAAAGCUCAUAAAUUGCAAGAAAUCUAGGGAUCCUCCUUUAUUAUAGGAGUCAUGAGUCUGUUCACAUAACCUGUAAUAACUUAACUCAUGCAGAUUUUGAAUGGAGCGAGGAUGAUUUCUCUCUUCCUCUUAUUACUACAGAACCAUCCACAAUUGCUAUACAAUGGACUUGUAGCAAAUAGGAGCUUUUAAGUAACUUUUGUCGACAAGGAACAUAAAGUGAGCUACCCUUCAAAGAAUGAAGAUUAAAUAUCAUUAUCUAUAGUUGAGUAAACAUCACUGUAAAGUGUGCAGAGAGCAUCUUUUAGCUGAGAUAAAGCUGCAGGUGGCUCAGAGGGACUGCUGUUCACAAUCUUGCCAGCAUUUUAUAUGGGCAAUUUCAUAGGUAGGGAACUUGGUUGUUUCUAGUCUGUCCUACCCUUUGCCUUCAGGGAUUUUUUUAAUGGUGAAAAAUGGCCCCUCUUUUUUGAUCCAUUUACCACAGGUGAUCCCCAGAGCUCAGCCCUUGACUUUCUGACCUUUUCUAUGCUCUCUUUCUAUGUGCACUCAGGUAUUCUUAUGACCAGAACUUUAAGUAAUGAGGGGGGAAAGAUUUUUUUGUUUAUUUCUGUUGGGUUUGUUUUAAUUUUUAACUGCUAGGGAGUUGGCCAGAGUGUUUCUUUUAAAAGGGUGACAAUUUCUCCCCUAAUUAAUGUCUUCUCUGAACCCAGUCUUUUGAUUUCCACCAACUAUUGUUGCUAUAUGGUAGAAUAGCCAGCCUGGGGGUUGUCAUGGUCCCUCACUCUGAGGACCAACUUUCCUAGCCAGGAGGGCAAAGGUAUAAAGGACUAGAUGUCCCUUCUAAUGGUGGAGUGCCUACCUUCCAGCUUAGAAUCAAUAUCGUGUAUUGGUUCCAAGGCAGAAGAGCAGCAAGGGCUAGGCAAUGGGGGUUAAGCGACUUGCCCAGGGUCACACAGCUGGGAAAUGUCUGAGGCCAGAUCUGAUCCCUAGUCCUGACUUCCUUGUUUUUAUUGAUGGCACCAGCCAAUCACCUAGACUGGAAACCUCAUUUCUUCUCUACCUAAUAUCCCUGUUAUAUGCAAAUAGUUACCAUUCUUAUUUUAUUGUUUUUUUUUCACAAACUACAUAACUUCUUUACCAUACUAGAAUCCCAGUGCAGAUCCUUAUUAUUUUCUGAAACCUGAAAUGUACAUAAAGACAUAAUACAUAUAUAUUCAUAAAAAUAUAUGUACAUAUGUAUCCAUCCAUAUAUUUUUGAAUGACAAAUACUGUUCUUAACAUUUUAUCCUGCUUUUCUUCUAUAUAAUAAAUAUAUAUGUAAAACAUGUAUAUUUAAAAAGUAUUUAUAUACAAAGGAUUGAAUUAAAGGCAAAUUGGAAUUACUUCAUUUUACAUAGAAGAAUAUUUUAGAUCUUUCUCCUUCCUUUUCUUCCUCUUGUUGAGUCCAAAGAGACCUGACAGACUUAGAUACCCUUGGGUGUUUAAGGUAGAUCAUUCUGAGGCAUGGUUGUCUUUGAUGUGUUCACCUACAAAAAUGUCACCUCACAACUGGUUCUGUUGUUUCACAUUAAAUGUGAAAGAUUCACUAAAAGGUUAAUUUCGAAUCUUGUCAAAUUUUAUAGCAUUAAAGGCAUUGCCUUUUCGAGGACACAACUAGAAAAAUAUCAGGAGGGCAAGAGGGAAGAUUGAUGCAAAGGUUGAAUAAGGUAGCUACUUUCUCCAACCCUUAUAGAGAGAUAUAUCAAGAUAUUCAUAAUCAUCUUUCUUUGUUCUUCCACUGAAGAGAUUUCUAUAUUACUAUUAAUUAAAAAAUAGUUCUUAUACUCUGAGAAUGGGGAUGGAGUCUGAGGAAAUUGUUUCUUUGUUUCAUUAUUUCCCUGAUAAUUUUCCCCCAUUGUUUGCUUUAUUUUUCCCCUGAGAAAGAAAUUAUCCUUUAUAUAUGUAUAUGUAUAUAAUCUCAUUUUUUUUGUUUGUAAUUAUAUAACCAAUAGCUGGUUUUUAUUGGUCCAUCUGGGGAUGGUAGAGUUAGUAAUGAUUUAUUUAAUCACCUUAUAAUCAAUCCAGUCAUGAACAAAAAGCCCACACACUGGCCUUGAAAUAUUUGAUUCAAGGAUUUUAUAUUUAUGGCUUGAAUAUUCAAGUGCAAGUAUUAUUUUUCUAAAUUGCUUCCUUUUCCUUCUUCUAACCCUAUCCCUAACCCUUUAGUUUCUCAUUUUCCUGAUCAAUUUGUCUCCCUACCAUUUAUUUCUUUUCUAGUGAUCUUUCCCUCUAGUUUUUUAAAUGAAGAAUCAUCAACAAAUAUUUAUUGUCUCAUAUAUAUAUAUAUAUAUACAUAUAUAUAUAAAGAGAAAAGUGCUCAUCUUUGGGUAUACAAAAAAGAGACAAAAGACAGUCCCUGAACCCAAGGAACUUACAACUAAUGUGGGAGGGAAUAACAUGCAAACAAGUAUACAAAGCAAGCUAUUUACAGAAUGAUAAGGAAAUAACAUUUUUUAAAUUAAAAAAAAACUUUUUUAUUGCAAGUAAGAAAAUAUUUUAGCUUGGGGUGGCAGGUAAAUAGAAAGAUACAAAAGAUAGAGAGACCAGAUGAGUUGGUUGCUAGAUGCAUUCUAGAAUUCCUCUUUUUCAUCUUCACUCUCUAUAGAAUGCAUGUCUACUUCCUCAUAAUCUUUAACCACAACAGACUAAUCUUCCUGGGCUUCAAAGAAUUCUCUAUGCCUUCACCCAUAUUGUGUACAAAUACACAUUUUGUAUACAUGAUGUUAAAUUUGUGAUCUAGAUGGACUCAUGCUUUGCCAAUGGCAGUUGUAUUACUUAAUAUUCAUUCUGCCAGCUGUACUUUCACCAGGUCUCAACCAGGUACCAAGUUAAAAGCUGGUAAUUGAUGCCCCCCUUGAAGCCAUUGGGACACCAGGCUACAAAAUGAAUUGUUCUCUUGGUCUUCUUUGUGGCAAUGACAGCAUUGACAUCCUUGGAUACCACAUUACCUUGGUACACCAUGCAGCAAGCUAUAUGUACUUGCCAUGAUGGGUACCAUACUUUACAAAGUAGGCACUGGAGAUCUCUUUUACAGAGAUCAUGAUAAGCCUUUUCACCAGAGUCAAUGGACAAGUAGGUAACAAGGGGUAUGUAGAUUUGUAUAAAGUAUAUAUAAAGUAUAUAUAUAUAUGUAUAUAUAUAUGUAUAAAGUAUAUAUAAAGUAUAUAUAAAGUAUAAAGUAUAUAAAGGGAUAAAGUACCAGAUUAGUCUGGAACUCUGUAAGGUAUACAUUAAGAACAUCAGCGUUCAGGGAGGCAAUGAUGGAGGAAAUGAUCUAGUUAAUGAGCCAGUUAAAGUUGGUGUAAGUAGGGUGCUGAAUGUAAGACACCAAGAGAAGGCACUAGAAUGAAAAGGUAUUGGGAAAGGCUUCAUGUAAAAUCUGAGAUUUUAGUUGGGACUUAAAAGAAGUAAGGGAAGCCAGUAGACAAAUUUGAGGAGGAAGAGCAUUCCAGGUUAGGUGGUAAUCAAAGAGAAUACUUGAAACUGAGAGAUGGAAUAGCCAGUGUUAUAGAUUGAAGGAUAAAUGUUGGGAUAGCUAAAAAAGCUCAGUAGAUGGAGAGCCAACCCUAGAGACAAGAAGUCCUGAGUUCAAAUCUGGCCUCAGACAUUUCCUAGCUGUGUGAUGCUGGACAAGUCACUUAAUCUCAAUUGUCUAGCCCUUACUGCUCCUCUGCCUUAGAACCCACACACAGUAUUGAAUGUAGAAGACAAAGUAAGGGUAAAAAAAAAGUGUUGAGGAAUAAACUGUAAAAAAGACUGAAAAGGUAGGAUGAGACUAUGUUAUGAAAGAUUUUGAAUGCCAAUAAGAGCAUUUUGUAUUUGAUUCUGAAAACAAUAGGGAGCCAAUAUAAUUUUUACAUGGAGGGGUGGGGUGAGUGACAUGGCUGGACCCAUAAUUUAGCAAAAUCAUCUUGGUGGCUGAAUAGAGGAUGGAUUAGAAUAGGGAGAGACUUGAGGAAGACAGACAUUCAAGCAGGCUUUUGCAAUAGUAUUGGUAUGAAUGGUGGCAAUAUCAGAGGAGAGAAUGGGCCAUAAAGGAGAGAUGUUGCUGUCCUUGGUAACAGUUUGGAUAUAGGGGGAAGAGAGAAUGAGACUUUGGGGAUAAUUCCUGGCUUGUGAGCCCGAGUCACUUGAAAUGAGGUUUGACACAAGAGGUGAGGAGGGAGCACAUUCUUUAUAUGGGGAUCAGUCAGUGCAAAGUUUGGAGUGUUGCAUGCAAGGAACAGUAAGAAGACACAUGGUUGGGUGGACCCUAGUGCUCAUAAAGGAGAAUAAUAUAUAUUAAAGCUGAAAAUGUGAAAUGAGGCCAUAUUGUAAAUGUCAAAUUAGUUUAAAUACUGGAGUUAAAUAAACACAUAAUUUGGUUUAAAUACUAAAAAGGGAGUUAAUAUUUCAACCUUCAAUGAAAAAGGAGUCCAUGGAGCUUAUUGAGUAGAAGAAAGACUUUGGUCAUUGAUCUGCACUUUAAGAAAGUCAUCUUGGCAACUAUAGAGAGAGUCUCAAGAUGGUGAACAAUGUGGAGGCCAAUGCAGUAGGACAGAGGAGAGGUGAACAAGACCUGCUCUGGGGUGGUAGACAGCAAGUUGAAUAUGUAGGAUAAGUAAACUUCAGACAAUAAGGUUGCAAACAUGGAUGAUUUAGAAGGGUUAGUCUGAAAAGGGGGUGUUAUUAGGAGAAAAAAUAACAAGUUCUGUUUAAACUGUUAAGUUAGAAUUAUCUAUAGGAUAUCUUAUUCAAUACAUAUGAUAGGUAGUUCAUGAUGCAUGAUCAGAGUUCAGGAGAGAGACUAUGGCUGUUGAUCAAUCUAAGAAUUCUUAUCAUGAAGCUAAUAAUUAAACCCAUGUUUAAUGAGGUCAUUGAAACAGAGUGUAGAGAAAGAAAAGGACCCAGAACAGAGCUUUGGGAGUACAACCAUGGUUAAAUGCCAAGAUAUGGAUGAUGACAAAAUAAUGGAGAUUGAGAAGAAGUGGGCAGGGAGUGAGGAGAGAGAGAGACAGACAGAGACAAAGAAACGGAGUGACAGAGAGGGAGAGAGACAGAGAGAGAUCACUAUGUCACAAAAGAGGAGAGAGUAUCUAAAAUAGUGAGUGAUGAAUAUUGAAAUGUUCAAGCAGAAUGAGAGUUGAAAAAAGACCCUCAGAGUGGACAUUGGUAAC